rnacentral:lncRNA from 1 species
CAUUUUCUUUCCUCCAUCUCCCUUUAAAUACCAAUCUCACUCACCGUUCCUUCCCCAAACUCACUGGCAAACCCACUGAUUUUUCACUUGUGAUCUUCUUUCUCUCUCUCUCUCUCUCUCUAGAAACCCAAGUAAUCAGAAGCACUAAAGAUACCAGCUUUUUAGAGAAAUGGCUUCUGUUUCUGUACCUGCAGCUGGCGGCAGUGCUUCUACUGCAAGUGCUUCUCAUCACCACCCACCUCCUUUUUACUUCGACGAGAAGUGGAAGCUGUCGAAGAAAGGAGGGUUGUCGAGAUCGAGCCGUUCAUCAUCUUCCAGUCAUCUGAUGAAGAAUUCAUCGCAGUCGAAUCGACGGUGCGCGUUUUCCAGAAAGUGUGCGAGGUUGGUGAAGGAGCAGAGAGCUCGGUUCUACAUCGUGAGGCGCUGCGUCACCAUGCUCAUCUGCUGGCACGACUACAGAGAUUCAUAAACUGAGAACAAACAGAGGAGAGAGAAAGUUGCCAUCUUUUGCCUCUGUUUUUGUUAGAUCUUUUUGGGGUUUGAUUGCUGCAGAAAAAACCCAGUUCACAAUCAGUUUUUGUUCUUGAGGAAAGAGCACGAGGAGAAUGAUUUAUACUUGUACAUAAAAUUUUGCUCUGUUUUUAUUUGUAUUUUUAAUGGGGGUUAAGAAUAAUUUAGAUUUUGAAUUUUCUUUUUUUGGGCCUCUGAAUCUCCAAACAAAGGAGAUGAGAUGGGUUCUUGAUGUUAAUUUCACUGCUACUAUCUGAGAAUUAUGAGAAAUAUUUCAAUGAAAAUAGGGCUCUUGAGGUCUAAUUCUUAUUCUUCCUUCCUUCUUUUUAAAUUAUUAAUUUGCCUUUGCAAUUUAUGGUUAAAUUCUUGUGCUUUUUUAAUGGUUUGGUUAAUCAGUUGGUCUUGAAUUUUGAGUUUGAAGAGAUGGGGCAAUGGUUGAAAUAUUAUAUCUAUCUCAAAGAGAGGGGAGAUUCCCUUCAACUGUGUUGCAGGCUUGCAGCUGAUGCAAUUGUGGAUCUGGUGAGCUUGGCUGACGCAAGUAGGAUUAAUAAUUCAUUAAAUUUGUAUUUUCCUAAUUUUUAAUGUGAAUCAUGGAAGUUAGGGAUUAAUAUAAAAUUGAACAAGUUGAAAGAAUGACGGUGGUUUUCACACUUCUGUUUUCUUCUUCGACCCUCGUUUCCCUUAAUUUUCACGCUUGAAGAUAACGAAAUGGAAGAGAAAAACGUAGUUUGAUAACCAUAUUCUUAUUUUUCUUCUUACAAUAUGAUGUUCAAUUGUAAGUUACUCUAAUUUACAGAGAUACAACUCCGAGCUUGAAUGUCGAAGAAAGUUUCAAAUUCACAAGCAAGAAAACGAGCACACUAGUCUACCCAACUAUUCACGUUUUUUAUCAUAAUGCACAAAAGAUGCCCUUUUCUUGCAUUACAAUUUCAAUGUCGUACAAAAUAUGGUAAAAAAAGUUGUGUGCAACCAAACUAAAGGAUAAUGCAAUCGGCUUGUCACUUCUACCUCCAAUGCUUCUGCAAUCAAAAUGACCAAUUUGUCCUAGAUAUUUUAGGCGUUUGACCAGUGGAGGACCACUUUGACCACUAAUCUGGUAUAGCUGGACAGGGGUAAUCUUGGAACCUUCACCCUGGCUUCAUCGUUUGUAUAUAUUUCGGUAUCCAGAUUCCUCGGCUCGACAUGUGAGGGAGUCUGAUUACUAUGCAUGUGAGGGGGCAUUUUCGUCAACUCAAAAGUUUACAGCUGAUUUUGUUACUAAUGCUACCUUGUGUUGUGCUGAGAGUUGUCCCACAUCAGUGAGGGACAAUGUUUGCUAUGUGCUUAUAUGAUAUUGGGCUACUUCCAUAUUGUCAAUUGGUUUUAUGGUGAACCCCAAUUUCAUCAUGGUAUCAGAGCGGGUUGUCCUCGUGUGAAGCCAAAUGGUCACACGCGCUUCAACUCACCCAGUUGUUGUCCACGUGUACGCUUGAAAAUCCGCCACACGUGCGAGGGAGUGUUGAGAGUUGUCCCACAUCGGUGAGGGACAAUGUUUGCUAUGUACUUAUACAAUCUUAGGAUACUCCUAUAUUACCAAUUAAUUUCAUGGUGAAACCUAUUCAUCAUCGUGUUUCAGUUAUAUUGAAAAAUCUCUCUUUAUAUUGGGAGUUUCAUUUCCAUGGUGAUUGUGACCUCGUCAUGGAUCUGACCGUUCGUUAAAAAAAAUGGAAGCUUUUUGAAAUCUUAAAGCUCGAAAUUACUAAAAAAAGUACUGUGACAUUAAUAAUAAUUUACUAAAAUAAGUAAAAGCUAGAGUUAAAUACCUGAUUGGAGUUUGAGAUUAUUUUCUAGUACGUUCAGAUAUUUUUUUUGUAUAUUAAGAUUUUCUGCUAUUAAAUUUGUAGAUAGAGUUUAACCACAAAGAUAUAAUAGUUGAAAAUUAUAAUGUCACAAAAUGCAUCGAUACAUAGUGGAAUUUUUAAUGUUCGUGAGAUGUGAAAACUUGAAUUAGAAGGAACUGGUUAUUGGUAUUCGGGCACAUUGAUAAAUUUCUCAUGAAAUGACAUAGAAGGGAGUGGCAAGUUGGCAUACUAGCUGACACGGCAGCAGCAACAUCUACACAUGAUUCACACACUCAACGUCUUUCCUUGAUAAGAAAGAAAGAAAGAAAAAAAAAACAAAGAGAGAGAACGAAUAUUGCUCCGAGUAGAUAAUUCGUAAUUUUCCUUUUUAAAAAAAGCAAGAAUAUUGUUUUUCCUUGCGUUCCUAAACUUUUGUAGGAGUGCGCGGUCUAAAUUUGAUCGAGUUUAUUCUAAAAUUGAGGAGGAAUAAACGAUAAUUGGUUCGAUUGAUUUAGUAGAAAUUAACCAUUGCGGAAGCUAAACCAAAACAAGCUGAUUAAAGGUUUGUUUGAAAGUGUGUUCAAAAUAAUUGAAAUCGCCUUUGAUAAAAAUGAUUUUGGGUUCUAAAAACAUUUUUAAGUACUUGAAAGAAGCACCAUAUAUGUAUUUCUUACGAAAAACACUUUUUCCAAUGUCCACUUGGAUUUCAUAAACAUUUUCACCAAAAAUGCUUUUAAUCAUUUUAAAAGCGCUUUCAAACGAGCCCUAGUUUUAAAUGAUUUGUUCAAUUUGGUUUGGGCGGUUCAGGUCUAAGUCUGUUUCUUUUUGGCUCCAUUACUUACUGAAUUGCAAAAUUUACAUAUACAUAUAUAUAUAUAUAUAUAUAUAUUAUGUAUGUUGUGUUAAUAAUAUAUAUAGGGUUAAAUCUUCCAUUAACUAUGUUGUGUUAAUUAUGUGUCACUUAGUACUACGGUCUAGUGGUAUUCUUCUUCGCUUAUAAGUGAGAAGUCUUAAGCUCGAUUAUCGUCAAAAGCGAAUUUGAACCACAUUAUUGCUUAUUCAGAUUUUUUUUUUUUUAACGCAAAGAUUGAAGAGAAAUGCUAAGAGACUCUUCAUGAAUUAUUUGUCAUCUCAUAGAUUAACGUCAAUUUUUAUGUCAGAAUACAUAAAGAGUCUCACUUUUAACCGAUUUUAUUUAGCUAGCAUUUCUCAACUUUAUAUUUUGAGGUAGGGUUUUGUAAAACAGUAAGCCUAAUCAUAACUCGUGCAUUACCGCUUCCCACGAUUUUUUCCAUAUGCCUUUUUGCUAUUUCGUAGGCUUUUCUUUUGCUCUCUAUCUCCAUCUCCUUCUUAUUUUUUUCCUUUUAUAUAUUUUAUUUAUUGUUAUUUUCUAUGGGUUUUGUAUAAUUUAUACAUCUAUUGGUUGAGCAGGUCAAGGAGAAAGAUUUGCUUUGCUAAAACGUGAUCCCUUUUAUGCACUUUAAUUAGAGGCAAUCAAACAAACAAGAUCAUGCUUGAUUAGGGUUUUGACUGUUAAUCAUUGGGAUUAAGCUUGGCGUGCCAAAGGAUUCGAAAACGAACAAAAAAAAGGGGGAAAAAAGGAUCUCGCAGUGGACUUUGGAGAGGUAAUCCGAGGACCCAAUAGAUUCAUUAAGGAAAAAGUGAGAAUCAAAUCUCCACACAAAUCUUAACCCACUUUUUCCUUUGGAUGAUUAGAAAUGUUAGUGGAUUUUUGGAUGUCUUAAACAAAAUCAUCCUUAACUGUAGUUUUCCCACACACACUUGAUGUUGAAGUAUUGUUUACUUAAUGUGAAAAUAGAACUACAUGAUAUCAAAAGCUAGAGUUGUGUUAGCAGAAGUCGUUGUAUGCAUGUGAGUGGUUAUAAUCGAUUUAUACAUUGUACGAUUUGCUUGAUUCAGCCAUUGAGAGUCAGUACGAAAUCGAUUAGUAACAUCAUGCUAAAUGUAAUGCAUGAUAAGUAUAACAGUUGUAAAAUUUGUUAAGUACAAUUGCUUAUGCAUAAGUUAAUGAAUGUAUGUUGUAUGUCGUAAAUGUAUUGUGAGUCCACCAUGCAUUAAAAACUAGGGUCCAGAGUUAGGAAGCUUGUACGAGAGAUUCUUGACACUUUGCAAUUACAGACACUGACCCACUCUUAUCCAUUUCUUUGGGGGCACCAAUAAAGAUUUUUCCAUGCUUUGUGGUCCCAUCAUAGAAACCGGAAAAGGAUUCUCCGGAUCCUUUCCACCAAGUCCAUCAAAGCCACAAAUCUGGGCCUUUGAAAUUUGAUCUAAGGGUUACAAAUAAGGGCUCACUUCAAAAGCUAUAAUAACUUUAGCCGUUAGAUCAAAUUUUAAAGGCCUAGAUUUAUAGCCUUUAUGGACUUGGUGGAAGGAAUCCGAAGAUGAUCCAUUUCCAUAUAAACCAUACUAAGUACUUCCUCUAGUAUAACACUUGAGAGAGAAAAUAAUAUCGACUACCAUUUUCUUUUCCUGCACACACUAUCGAAUACAUGUUGAUCAGUAGUUUAUAUCUUUACCUUAACAUAAAUUAUGCAACAUGUGUUAGUCACUAUGUGCUAGCUUAGAAAUACCUUUAAAUGAUCGAAAACGUUUUUAGAUAAAAUGUUUUUUUUUGCAAAAAGCAUAAGUUAUGUGUGCUUCUUUUAGGAAUCACUUUAAGUUUUUUUUUAGGAUUUACUUGUUUUUUUACUAAAGAUUGGUUUAAAAAAUAUACCAAAAGUAAUUUCAGCUAUUUUAAAAGCACUUCUAAACAAGCCAUAUAUGUCUUUUGAAAAACAAAAUAACAUGCACUGAAUUACUAUUGUAGCAUCAAGUGAAAAUACGUGGUAUAAAGUUAGGCCAUCUCUAACCGAAGUGCUAAAUAUAGUCUCGUCUAGAAUUAUAGCCCUACAAAAAAUUAUUUUUAAAUAAACAGUGUCAGGUUAUAUAUAUAUAUAUAUAUAUAUCAUUUUCAACCGAAAUGGCUAAACAUAAUCUACUUAAUAAUUAUUAAUUUUAAGUUUAUACUUUAAAUUUACUGAUUAAUUUAAUCAAAUUACCGUAUGAUGUUUUUAAAUCUAAAUAUUAAAUUUGAAUCAAUUAUUACAGCAAAAAAGCUGAACCACAUAAAGGGGCUAGGCGUGGGCUACAUUUAAUCACCCUGAUACCUUGACUUUUGAAUCUUUAACCCUCCCUAUUGGAGUCGGUCUUAUCAACAUUGUUGAUUAUCCUUUCCAAUCUAAGCACGCAAAUUAUUUACCAAAAUCGUAAUUAUCAGCCACUGGCAUGGCCUUGAUUGAUGCGUUGGCAGAAGAAGUAGAACAUUCUGGAGUGGAGCUGUGUCUAGUCAACGGUCACAUCACGGAGUCCUGAACGACAUGAUAAGCUCUCUGGAUCCUCAUCCCUCGAAUUUAAUCAACAGGUGGCACCACGUCAACAAAUAAUCAUCCAAAUCACGCUCUGCCAUUUUGGACCAUUGCUCACUUGGAGCUUCAUCUAGGACCCCACGAUGGAAAAGGAUCCUCGGAUCUUUUUUCUGGGGAUUUGAAGAAUUUCGUAAUCAUGUUCGUCUAUCAUAUAUCGUGCAGUAAAAAAUUAUUUAAAAUUUAAAAUUAAAUAUAAAUAUUACUUAACAAAAAAUGAUCGCACAAUAAUGAACGGAUCAAAAUCCAAAACACACCCCCCCCAACACACGAUCACGCGGGAACUAACCCCCUACGUGGGUCCCUGUCGUUCCAUGCUUCAUGCAGUUUCCACAUCAUCAAUGUUCGAGAUUUUCAUGUGAACUGAAAAGGACCGGCUUUUCGGGCCGAAAUAUGGGUAAAAGGGCCGGCCUUUUAGUUUUCAACUGGAGCCCAACGGCUAUUAAUGGGCCAGUGGUCAUCUUUUAUUUGUACACUAAUUUAAAGAAAUUGACUCCAUUUUGUGAAGGCUUUGGGCUUUUUCUUUCAACGCAUAGUGUGGACUCAAAAUGCUCUAUUUGUGUUCAUUUUCGAUGUAUCUAAGUGAUAUUUCUCUUUACUUAUAAUUUUAUGUUUAGUUUUGUAUAUUAUGAGUUUGAUAUCAAUUAUUUAUAGCGUAAAUAAAUCAUAUAGCUUGUUUUUUUUUUAUGGUUUUUGAAAAAUGAUAGCAUUAGUAUGUUAAAUAAUGAAGAGGGAAUGGUGUGGAUUUGCUAAAAAUCUAAUGAUCGAUUUUUAUCAUUAUUUUUUUAUAUUAUCUAUUAGAGAAUUGAUUUCACACAUAUUAACCCACCUAUUGAAAAUUCUUGAUUUCCCUAACUAAAUGUUUGGACGAGAUAAAUAACAUUGAAAAUUUAAUAAAAAACCAGAAUUUAUAAAUUGACAUGCAUCAAUUUCUUUAUUUGGAUUUAUUAACAUAAAAUUUAGAUUUUUCGCAUGGACAAAGAACUAGGAAAUUGGGACCACCAAUUCCCAUGUUUAAAUUCCAUGUAGACAUGUGUCAUUUCUAAAUUUCUAUGAGUGAGAGUUUAAAAUAACGAAUUCUGUAUUCAAAUUUUAUUAUUUUUUUAUGUUAAGCAAACAAAAAAAUUUACAAAUCUUAAAAAUAAAAUCUCAUCAUUUCAAUUCCGUCAUUUUAAAAUUACUUUGUAAUCUUAAAUUUUCUGUAUUGCAGGCAAAUUUGAUAUCAUACGCACAGGCGCGUGGGAUUUCAAUAUCAUAAAAACAUCGAAGUAUAAAAGCCCCAAGUUUCUGCGUCGAGCACAAUCUACACCAAAACGCCCAUGGCCACCGAAGCUCCCGACUAUACCACCCGAUUUAUCGUCCCCGUUUCAACCCGACAACCCAAUUGCUCCACUCCGUUUUCGAAGCUCCUAUAUCGCGUCGAAACGGGUCAGUCCAACUCUCUCUCACACUCUCACUCCUAAAAUUCAAUGUUUAUUUUUCUAUGAAUUUUUGCAGUAAAAUUGGUGGAUUGUAGUUAAAAACCCUAAUUUGAUUGGUUCAGAUUCAGUUACUUGUUAAUAUCUGUUUAGAAGAACAAAUUUUAGUGCUUUUGGGAUUUUGAUUUGCAGGGGUGUAUUCAAUUGAGAAUGUGAGAAUUUUAAUAGAUUUUUAUGGAGUUUAAUUGAUUUGUAGAUAUUAUAUAUAAAAUUUUGAUUCAAUUCCUUGAAAUCUCACGGGAAGAUGUGAGAUUUGUGGAUGCUUAAAAUACACUACGAAAUCUCUUCAAUUCCCUCUAAUUCCUCAACUUUCUCAAAUUCUUUAAAAUCAAUUUCUAAUUGAAUACGCCUGGAAUGUCAUAAACUUCUUUAAAAUCCUAAUUGAAUACUCCCAGAUUUUUAGGGAUUUUAAUAAACUAUCUUAAAAUUCUAAUUGAAUACACCUAGAAUUUCAGAGAUUCACUUGAAAUUCUGAUUGAAUACCCCUAAAUUUAUUAAAAGAAUUAAAAUCCCUUAAAAUUCCAAUUGAAUACACCCCCGUAAUUGUAUCUAAAACCCACUAGGGUUUUGAACUUUUGAUGAAUGCCUUGCAAUUAAUCACUAGUUAAUGGUAAUUUAAUUCCAAAGGUAAAAACUUUUUGGAGUUUUUAUUUUUAUGCUCAGUAAUGAUGUGGAUUUGCUUGUAUUUUGGGAAUUUUCAUAUCCAUUUUAUCAUGCCAUGGAUUAAUAUUUGUAUAUGACAUGACCAGAAAGUUGAAGAUUGCAAGUGCUGCAGCCAUGACUGAUGCAAUUGAUUUAUCUGGGGAUGGCGGUGUUCUCAAGAAAAUUGUAAGGCAUGCAAAACCAGAUGCAGCUACCCCGACCCAAGACCUUCCGCUCGUUGAUGGUAUUGACUAUAAUGCCGUAGCUGAUUGUGUUUUUUCUGUUGUUGGUUUUGUGACAAUAUUUUCUGGUUAAGUUGGGUAUGAAAACAUUGCAACUUAUCUUUAGUUGGUUAAUAUGAUUGCAUACUUUAUGUUGGGCAGUUCAUUAUGAAGGCAUUCUUGAGGAAACCGGCGAAGUCUUUGACACGACGCACGAAGAUAAUACAAUUUUCUCAUUUGAGGUUGGGAAAGGCAGUGUGAUCAAGGCUUGGGAUAUUGCAGUGAAAACCAUGAAGGUCGAAAAACACGCUUAUCUUCAAGGAAAUUUUGGUAGUGUUAAAAGUGUCCUGUUACAUGUUUUCUCUUUUGUUGGUUGCAUCAGGUUGGGGAGAUUGCUAAGAUCACUUGCAAGCCAGAAUAUGCCUAUGGUAGUGCGGGUUCUCCACCAGAUAUUCCACCAGAGUAAUGUCAUUGUUCUAUUUUUAUGUCAAAAUUGUUUUUUAUGGACACUGGGAGUGCUAGUAGCUCCGUUAACUUAAAGAUAUAUUUACGCAUCGAUGUACCAAAACAACACUGUCCAGACUUAAUUCUUACCCAAACAUGGAUAGUAUAUGCUUAUUGGCAACUAUUGCAUCUUAGUUUAUGAUAUAAGAGUUAUUUGGUUGGUGAUCUUUGAUUUCAUAACUUUAAACCUAGAUAUAUGUUGAAUAGAUGUAAAAUUUCCGGAUGCAUGUUGGAAAGAAAAGUACAUAAACUCCGCGUGGUAAGACUUCUCCAGGAAGAGUCUUCACACGCGAGUAUAUGCCAAUUUGUGUGUUGAGUAUUCUGGUUUACGAUUGCAUCCAAGUGCUUGUAACAGUCUGCUUCAAUUUGCUUGGUCAAUUAUCUCGAUUUUCUUGUCACAAAUGGUCUCUUUACAAUGUCCUUGGAACUAAUGCAUUGUAUAUUACAAAUGAAUCCUGCAGUGCAACCCUUGUAUUUGAGGUGGAGUUAGUUGCUUGCAAUCCUCGGAAGGGAUUAAGUUUGGGUAGUGCUUCAGAGGAAAGGGCUAGGCUAGAGUAAGCUAUCUACUUUCAUCUUCUCCGCGACUUAUAUUCCAGAGAUAUACUGCGAGCCUUACCAUCGUCAUUACACUUUUUGUUGAUUCUGUCGAGAUCUACCAACUUUUUCAUCAACAGUAGGUUUGAUUGAAUUUUUCAUUGGUACUCACAACAGAGAGCUGAAGAAACAGAGGGAGUUAGCUGCUGCAAACAAAGAGGAAGAGAAGAAGAAGAGAGAAGAGGCGAAAGCUGCAGCUGCCGCUCGUAUUCAAGCCAAGUUGGAUGCCAAGAAGGGCGGAGGAAAGGGAAAAGCAAAAGCAAAAUAGCACUUAGUCGCAGACUCGCAUGUUUGAACGAGGUUGAUCCUUCUGAUCAAGUAGAUUCAAUAAAUUGGGUUUGUUUGAAUGUACUUUUAAAAUGACUGAAAGCGUUUUUGGUGAAAAUAUUUUUAAAAACAAUCCUUAAUAAAAAUGUUAGUAAAUCCUUAAAAAACACUUAAAAUGCUUCUUAGAAAAAGUACAUAACUGAUAUUUUUUGUACAAAGCACUUAAAGUGCUUUUGAUACCUAAAAAUAUUUUCUCUAAAAACAUUUUCGAUCAUUUUAAAAACACAUUCAAACGAGCCCUAAUUUAGUUGGACUAAUUUAGUUCGUGAGUCCGACUGAACAAACGAUGACCUUUUCCCUGGUUUAGUGUGUGCUAUAAACUUUUGCCAAACAUGUUUUGGAUCAAUAAAUCGGCCGUGGUUGGUUCACCGAAGGACUCAAGUUAGACUGGAAACUUCGAUUGUUGUCCAAGUAAGGCACACUAACUUCAACAACGUCCCUCGCAACGAGUUUGCCGAAGGCAGAAAACUUUUGGAGUGCUAUUUAAAAUAUACACAACAUGCUUGUUUUGAGGGCAUAAUAUUCAGCCAUUUCCAGUGCCUAUAUAUCAAGAUAAUUACAGCAAUGCCAAUGCUGGGCAUAACCUUUGAAUCGGAUCCAUCAUGUGCCUAACUAUGUAGGUGGGUACCCUACUUCUACUAGUUACACUUAUGAUUUAAACCCUGUAAGAGGCAUCCAUUCCAUCUUGUCCAUUUUCAUGCAACCCUGAUCCUGCUCGGAAUUUACACACCGGGCAGGUUCCCUGCUGCUUCAGCCAUGGAUCAAUGCAACUAGCAUGGAACUGCAGCAAGCAACAGCAAAAAAACACGAUAAUAAAAACAAGACUCCUCGAGUCUGAUUAGCUAGAGAUCAACUCUUCCGAUGAUGUGUUUUCAGUUCACAAUUUGCGUGAGUGUCACAGAGUGUCUGGUUAGGGAAUGUGUGUGCGUGUGUGCAGGGUCGAGAGGAACCAGAUGCAUUUUGUAGUUGGAAUCAAUCACACAUUUUGACUCGGCAUCACAAGAAUUUCUUUGCAAACAUUUUAGCGUAGCAAAAACUCCCUAAAAAUCGCAACUGAAAAAUACAGGAAGAUGGAAAAAAUAAGCCUAUGAAUGUCAAAGCACUGAAAAGAGAACCGAACCUGAUGCAAGCAUGGAAGGCUGCGGAUUAGUUCUCCCACAGUAACUUGCUCGAGGCAAACGCUACAAGUCAGUUCAUCUUCCAUUGCUUUUGUGCUCCCAACAGCGUCGACAGUUUCUUGCGUCUUCUGCAAAAUAGAUUAGAAAUAUACGACGGUACAGAAUAAAUGCAAUGCUAUCAUAUGAUAUGAGAUAAUAAUGUACGCAAGUUUCUUCUGUCUGUACUCAUACAAAAUGAAAUGCAGGAACAUCUUUACUUUUGAAGGGUGAAAAAUACAAAAGGAAAGAGGGGCAAUAUAUAGUCAAUACCUCAGAAGGUACUGAAGAUGAAGCUUGUUGCAUCGAUGAAGCGCCACUGCAUACAAAACAAAACCAUUAUAAAACAAACGUAUUCGAAAUGCAAAGGCUAAACAACUAUGAUUCAAUUCUUUUUUCAUUUGCCCCUAAAAUCUCUCAACUCUGUUGGUCUAUCUCAGUCACUCAACCAAAACAAAAACAACAACAAAAAAAUUAGAGAACUUACUUUUGAGGACCCACAGCCUUGUAUUUAUGGACUGGAAGAGCAUUUAUCUCUUCCUCACUCAUAGAAGAAGCUGCUGGAACAUUAUCGGAAUCCAGAGCUCGCAAAGUUUCAUAAUCUGGUAUGCAAAGAAGAGUAUUUACCAUAAACGUAAAGGCAUAUAAACAACUUUAAGAGAAAAAUCUAUGGUUUGGCUAAUAAAAAAUAUUGAUAGCCAUGUAUUGGGUUUCAAGAUAUAAAAAUCAUUUUAGACGGGAUAUAACUACCAACCUAGGUCAUCAAAUUCCCGGUCAAGAAGUGCAAGCUGAAGUCUGAGGCCUUGAAGGCGCCCUCUUGUUGCUAAGCUAAUUGAUGGUGGCAUACGCAACCGCAAUUCAGUAUGGCCAAGAAGGCCACUGGCUGCCGCUGCAUGAGCCUGUGCUUGAGCUUGAAGUUGUUGACAGGUUGCAUACAUCCUUAAUGUUGUAGCCAUCAAAAAGACACCAAGAACUAGCCACAGCUACAUGCAUAAGGAUGUUUAAAUUUCUCAUAUAACAACCUAACGAACAGCAACCUUGACCAGUAAAAGUAGCAAAACAAUUUACAUACGCUAUUAAGACAAUACCAGAAAAUUCGGUGACAUCUGGUGUGAGUUCAGUAUCAUGAAUAGCAAGAGAACUGGCAAUUUGCAAACAUAUAAACAGAAAUCAGAACCUACUAACAUAAUUACAAGACUAAAAGGACAAAGGAUAGGAUUAUAAGUACCUGUGACAAGAAAAGCAAGUGAGUUGGAAUUGACAGAGCGUGGUGGAUGAACACGCUGAUACAAAACAACCAAUAUCAAUAUAAAUUACACUAAUAACUUUGCCCCCUGUUUCCCUAGACAAUUUACAGAGACACUCGCCAUAAAUUAAACCCCAUAACUCACCCUCCACCCUUGCUCUCAAGGGGGAGAAGGUGAAAUUAGGCCCAAAGGGGAUUAGCAACUGCGAAAAACAGCUCAUAUUGCAUACACACUGGCCAUCGAUUAAACCAUGAAACUCAAACCUCCACCCUUAUUCUUAAGGAAUAAGGUAAAAUUAGAGCCAAAUGCAAUAGAAACUAACAACUAUAGCUAAGACCAUAUACAAAAUUUGUGAAAGACAAGAAAUGUACCAUUGCACGGCGCUCUGGUAUGAAUUCCGGGAACCCACUUUCGAUAUCCGCUCUGGUGCCCCGGAACACAAAACUCAUGUUUGUAGAGUUCAAAAGCCUUCUGCUGAAACAAUGAAGUCACUGACUUUCCAGUUCACAGAACCGAAACACGCAAAAAAAAGUAUGUAAACAUACAUUCAGUCAUUCAGUCGUCGUAACCAGUGCACAAGGCUCCCGUUUUACGCAGAGUCUGGAAGAGGUCAAUGUCGGCUAACCUUACCCCUAUUUAUGGAGAGGCUGCUCCCAAGUCUCCAAUCCGAGACCUACCGCUCAUGGGCGAAGGCACUUGCCAUCGCACCAAGGGCGAAGGCACUUGCCAUCGCACCAAGGGCGAUCUCUAAUUCAAAAACAAAAAGAAGCUAGUUUGACGCAAAAAACCUUACUCAAGAUUCCCAACUUACAUGCAGUAAAAACUCAACUGAAAUAACUAACAUCCAAUUAACUUCAAAUUCCUGAUACAAAAUCACAAUCAACAAAACCCUAAUCCCCAAAUCACCAAUCAACAAAUCCCUAAUCUCCAAAUCACAUUCCCUAAACUAUGCAAUUAACAAAAAAAUUUCUCUUUUGAGAAAGAAAAAAAAAACAGUAAUUCAGGUCGCAAUUGCAUGCUGUGAGAGGUGAAGAAUUACAGAGGCAGAUUGGAAGAAGCUUUCAUAAUUUAUGAUCAAGAAAAUUAAAGCGAUCAGAGAUUACGAGGAGACUGAGAAAUGCGAGGAGAUUAAAGACUUGCCGGGAAGAAACGACUUUGGAUUGUUCAGAUUACAUGAACCGGCAGCGUUUCACGACAACGCCGUGCAAACGUUUCUUCGGUGGAAGAAAGGGAGCGAGUUGGAGUGUGCAGAGAUUUGAGUCGACUCGGACGCGUUUUGCCGCGUGUACUCUGUUUGGUUAGUCUAAUAAAGCUUCUUGUUUUGUCUAUCGGGACUGUUUGGUUAGUCUAAUAAAGAGAUUAGUUCAAUUACUGUUUCGUCACGACGCCGUUUGUACUCUGUUUUUCCACUUUGGAACAUGGACUGUUACGUCAGGUAUCACAAUAUAAUUGAAUGAAAAAAAAUUUAAAUUUGUAUUGGCCCGUGUUCCAGCCCACUAAAAAAUCUCUCCAUUUCGAGAUUCCACAAUCAGCAUCCUGUCUUAAGCGCACCGUUCCUUCUUAUCCAUUGGAAAUUCAUUUUGCCCCCUAUAUUUGUUCUACACCUAUGAUAUACGGUAGUUAUUCCUAUUUAUGAACUUUACUGGAGAUGCUCUUAGUGGUACGAUUUAAUAAUAAUCAUUUCACUUGUAAGUAAAAAUAUUUCAAGUCUGAUUUUCGAGAAUAGUGAGUUCUCAACUAAUUUAUUCCAUCAUCUUCAUACGUAGAUAUAUCAUUGUAUAUAAAAAGAAAAUAACAAGUAAUUAGGUUGUUUAUUAGGGAGAGCAAGUUCAAUGUAAUAGGUUCAUCAUCACGUGGCGUUUCAAUCCAAUAACAUGUUAUAUAGAAAAAUAACUUAAACGUAAUAUCAUAUUAUUAUAUCUGAAUGUCACUAAGCGACCACGUUCCAUGUAAGUCUUCAUAUAGAAUUGCCAUUGCAUAAUUGACAAAAUCACAAUUCAGCCAAAUAAAUUGAAGUGCGAAAAUUGAUGUAUGGUUCUAUACUACAAAUCAAAUAAACUAAUUUUUUACAUUGCGGUACUCAAAGUUAGAAAGCAAAUUGUGCAAUCCCAUGAAUACUGAUUGAUCAGCAACUUUGUGCAGGCGUGAAAUUUUUUUAAACUAAUUGUUAACUCGAUACGAAACGAUACAAAAAUAACAGAUUCGAGUAUUAGUCGAGUCAUUAUUGGAUCAUACGUUAAUAUAAUGAGUAUUACAUGUAAACGACACAAAUACAACCAAUUUGUUAAGUCUAAACAUUAGACAUGAUAAUUUCAUGUAUAGCCCAUUAAGCCGACAUGAAAAGACAUGAACUGUUAACGAGUCAGUCGUUACCGAGCCAUUUGUUAAGAAUGCGUUAAAAUAUCGAGUUUGACACAACAUAAUUAAUUAAGAUAAUGAAUAUGAUUAAAAAACGACACGAACAUGAUCUAGUUGUCUAGUCUACCCUUCAUCAUCCACCUGGGUCCCACAGACAAUCCAAAAUCACCAUCGGAGUUGGAAUCUUGGGAAAUGGACACCGCACCCUCCUGCCCUCACUAAAAAAAAAAAAACUCAUUACCCCAACAGAGAUUCAGAGAAUCUCACUGUAAUACAAGUUUAAAAUUAAACUAUAUGAAAACCCAAAACAGUACCCCCAAAUUUAUGUUAAUUACCCAAAUUAUCCACACAUGAACCCAUAAUAUCUGAACAAAAUGGGCCACCUAUCUAGCACCAACACUAUGUUGGCCCCCAUCACGGUCCAUUAUAUGAGAAAGACUUACCUACGUAGGAUAGUAUUCUAAACUAAUAACAUAAGGUACAGACUGCGAUAGUAUUUAAAUCAAUAACGCGACGAGUUUUAAUAUAUUUUUUGUUAUGGUGCGUUAUUAAUUUGAGAUACCUUUACAAUAACGUAGUCGAAGGGUAAGUUAUUCUCGAGAAUAGACCCCACCAAAGAUUUGCCAGCUUAGAUCCAGCAGGGGUCCCACUUAAGCACCUAGAGACCAAGCUUUUGACUUGCAAGUUCACACCUAACCUCAGCCACUCCUACCCUAGACUUCUCCAAAUCAAACUCCAUCCACACGUUCUGCUGAUGAUAGUGACCAAUCACAAACGCCUCUAUGCCCAGCAAGUCGGAGUUCCCAUAUGUGAAGCAAUACACCUGAUUCCCGCCCCUCACCAUUCCCGGCACCCGAUACAGCAGCCUUUCCCCCGAGACGCUCAUCUCGGCCCCCCGAAACAUCAGCGUUACUGUCGGCAACGCGGGCAGACUCGGCCGGUUCGUCGGGACUUGGAAACACAAAUCGAUCGCUCCUUGGAACACAAAAUUCGGGUCGUUCAAAAUGUUAAGAACCGGUUUGGUCUGCUGAGUGAAUUCCUUUUUCAGCGCGGUGUAAACCGGACCGAGUAGGAACGUGAACUGGGUUCCCGAGUCGACCAUUGUUUGACCUGCCCCGGAAUGGUCCGGUACGAAAACGGACUUCGGGAGCGGUAACAACUUCCCUCCAACCCGGAUCCCCUCCAGCUGGACCGUGUACGCUACCCGGUCGAAGUACGGCAAUGGGGUUGAAAUAUGAACCAGUGGGGUGUAAUUUAACGGUUUGAGCCAAUCGAAUUUCGCUUCCCCGAAAAGCAAAACACCGGACGAGUCGCGACCCGAUAUGCAGUAGGAAAAUUUCGGAAAUCCCAUCUGUGUAACGAAGGACAAUGAACCGCGGUUCAUGCCCAUUAACCCGGUUGUCUUCGCGUCCUCUUCAGCGUUCGAACUGGACCCGGAAUCCAUGCACCCGAAUAUGGUACCGGGUUGGGCGGACGACCCGAGAUUGAAAGUUUCCCAUGCGAGGUUACCUUCGAUGGAGGAGGCGUCGACGUAGGAGAGAAUGGAGUGGCAGAGCUUUUUCGGGUCGCAAGAAACGGGUGUGGGGAAGUCGCGGGUUCGGGUCCGGCAGACGGGGGAGGAGCAGGGGACUGGGGAGUAGGACUUGGAGGCGAGUGGGUUGAAGACAGAGUUGAAGUUGGGGGCUUUUUUGCAGCGAAGCCACGAAAGCUCGCUGCCUGUGUCGAGGACCAUGGUGACUUGCUGCGGCGGAGAGCCGACGGAGAGGGAGAUUGUGAGGGUGACGUUGUGGUGGAAGGAGAGCUUGUUGGUGGAUUUUGGGAGGGACCCGUGUGGGAGGGUCUGUGUUUUGAGGGGCAGGAUUAGAGUUUCUGGUUUUGGCUCAGAGAAACAGAGGGUGGUGAGGAGUUGAAGAAGAAGGAGGGGGAGGAGUAUGGGCAUUGUUUCUGGUGAAAUUACGAAUCGGGGAACUGAAUUCGGACGGAAUGUAUGUUUUUUUUUUUUUUUGUUGGAGUUGGGGAUUUGAACGUGUUGGUGUUGCAGGGGAGUUUGAUAGAGUUUGUGGCGGGGUCUUUGUAUUUGUUAGAGUUUGUGGCGGGGUCUUUGUAUUUGUUGUAGGUGUGCUUGUGAAUGGGGCCGAAAGGUCCGCAUGAGGAGAAAUUUUCCAACGUUGCCAGAAUACGGGAUACAUCACAUAUCAUUAUAAAGUGAUAUUUACUUAAAAAAUAAAAUUUUAUUUCGUUUAUAUAAUGAUAUAUGAUGUACCAUCUGUGUUUCGAGAAUACUUAACAAAUUUUUGCUUGCGAGUGCGUGUGAGUGUGGUGUCUUGUAAGUGCGCUCUCUCUCUCUCUCUCUAUCUAAAUUUGGUUUAAGAUACUUAUUACAUGCAAAUCUCAUGAUUAUGUAUUUCUACCAAAUAAAAGUGAGAUGGCUAAGAAAAUAAAAGAGAUGUUACGCAAUCAAAAGUUCCGAUUUUAUUGCAAGGGUUUGUAAUAUUAAACAAUUAAGAACAUUUACUUGAUAACCGAUAUUUUCUGAGAUCAAAGGUGCAUUUGGUAAGCUCUUCCAAUAUUCCUUUACUUUACAAUCUAAUAAUCCUUAAAUGUACUACUUUUAUUUAUUUUUAGCUCAUCUCCCACCUGGUUGAGCUGCCUGAGAUCAAUGGUGCAUUUGGUAAGCUCUUUCAAUAUUCAUCUCCAAAGCCGAUCAGAUGCUUUCAUUCAUAUUCCGUCUAAGCUCUCAUAAAAAAUUUGUAUUCAAACAUCCCUCACGUAUAUAAUACUUUUACGAUUGACAGCUUGGUUUUUGCUCUUCUACUUUCUAUUGCUUGGUGAACAAUUUAAAGGUCGAAUUAUAUUCUGUAAAAUUAGACAGCUGCUGUUUUUUCAUUUGCUUUUCUUUUGCUUGUUGGUUACGAGCCAUGAAUAUAUAUUAGUGGCUGGACUGUGCUUAAUUCUUUUCUUUCUCGUUGAUUAAGCUUCGAAUCCAACAACCCCAAAAAGAGGAUUAAAAUUGAAAAUAAUUAUUCAUCUAUUACUACUCCAUAACAAUCUUGUUCGUAAAUAAAGUUUCAAAUCAAAUCUCCUUAUGGAGAAAGCAUCACCUCAAUUAUGCUCUGAUUUCCUUCAAUUUUUAGUGUAAAUUGCACUAAUUUUUUUUUUUUUUUACAAAAUAUAUUGCACUAUUUUAUUUUACAAAGUAUAUUGCGCUAAUUUUGGAAUUUUAUUUCCAUGAGUCAAUGAUUUUUUUUAAUUUACAUUUAUUUUGUAUUUUUUAUUGCUUUUUCAGAAAUAGUACGAUACUCAUUAUAUUAGUGAGUGAAUCAAUACAAACACGGAUAGGGUGUUCGAUAAAAACACAAAUAGGUGUUUUUUACGUGGGUUCAAUAACGACAGAUGAUCUCUCUAGCAUUUUUUUAUUGGGAAAAUUUGAAUUAGGUCUAAUUUUAUAGGCUUAUUUUGAAAUAGGUUCAAUUUUUAGUUACUUUGGAUGUAUAUCAAAAGACCCAUUUUUAUUUAUAUCUCUAGCAUUAUUUGUUAUUAAUUUGAGUCUCGAUUUCUUUUUAAUACAUCAAUAUUUUUACACUAAGCGGAGAGGGAGUUCGGCUAAGUCACACAAUGGGCAACCUAAUUUGGUAUCGAAUUCGCAUCUACGAAAUUCAAACCUAAAACCUCUCACUUCCAAAUGAAGAGAAAUAUCAUUAGACCGUAGUACUGAGUGGUGAGUCUCGACUCUUAAACCUUAUUACUAGACAGUUAUUUGAUUAACUAUUAAAAAUGUAAUUAUUUUGAACCAAAAUAUUAGACCUAGUCCGAGUGCAACUUUGGGUUUGGCUCAAAAUGAAGACGGCCGGUACCCACAUCUAUUCUUAAAGUCCAGCUUAGGAACAAAUGGUCGAGUCCUAAUCAGUAUUUAAUUCGUUGGGGAUCAGGAUUGGAUCCGGUUGAGUCCGAAUGUGAGUGAGAUUGUUAAGGAUUAGAAUGAACAAUGAUAAGGUUCGUAAUAUCCGGCUAAUCAUUGUUCAUAGCUGAUCAAGAUCUAGAAUGAAUUAAACAUGAAAGAGGGCUAGGUUCAAAGUCCUAAGUCUAGUAGGAGUGGCCGAGCUUUACGCAGAGGUUAGGAUGGUUUGGUGUCGAGGAAGUACAACCCAUAUAGGAAGCUACUACGACAUGUUGUAUUAACAUGAAAAUCAUUCCUAUAAAUUGAAAAGGUUCUACAACAUUUGUUGGACAUUCAACAUAACACACAUAUUUGCCCUGCGCAAUUUAUUGAUUUAUGCGAAACCCUUUCAUCUUUGAGAUAACUCUGACAUUUCUAACUUAGUCAAGCAUAUCUUAUAGUUUGGAUAAACAACAUUGUGGUUCACAAAUGGCGACAUCCUACAGUUUGGAUAAAUAACACUGGAACUAUAUCGUCAAAUAACACUGGAACUAUAUCGUCAGGCGAUCGAUCAAUGCCUCACAAUUUGGAUUAACAGCAUUGCUCCAAGUUCGGUUGACUAUCUAUCCAAAUCUGUCAAUAAGGGAUCUCUUAGUCCUUGUUCAAAUGGGUCAUUUUAUUAGUCUCUCAGCAAGUGAGGUUUUACCAAGUUACAUUGUUCGGUACAUUAAAGUCGAACCCAUUUUAUGAUUGGAUAUUCACAAGUGCAUUUUAGAGUUCGACACUCCAACGACUGAACUACAUUUACGAUCAAGACACUUAACUCUUUUGAAUAUUUGUGUCCAUACAACAUGUUACUGAUUCAAUGCACUUAUAUUUUCACAAUUAUAAUUGGAGCAGUCGAGCCCCGUGCAGACGAUCCUUUAACUUCGCAGUAACUGACAACCUUGUCCUCAUGCUCUAGAACCUAAAGGCCAAGACAAGUUUCUUCCUUGGCCAUGAUCGCUCGGAUAAGGAGUCAGCAACGCGUUUAACACCACCACCACAGCCACAUUCAUUUACUCACCGACCAAGUUUAGUCUACCAAUUGGCACGUCACAUAUUCAAUCGAAAUACAUAGUUAGCUAAUUAGUUAUUCGAUAUGCGCACCACAUAGGCUUAGUUGUUUUUAAGCUUAACAGUAUUAUACUGCCACCGGCAUUGAUAUUAAACAAAUGUUGAAAAUUUCGGCAUACAUGUAAACUCUUGACUUUGGUCUUGAAGGCAGCUGCCCCAAUUACUGUUAUCAGUCCAAAUGUCACUCAAAACCUUUUACUUUAAUCAGAAAUGCUUUAUUGCAUGCCAGUCUUGACUUUCCAUAUACCAUUUUUUCAUUCAGUCAAUCUAACUUCUAUAAUUUAGACCCUCGUCAAUCAUUGACUUAUUAUUCAAAUUUAAAUUUUAAAUACAAAUUCUAACACGAUAAAUUAUACUGUUAAAUUGUUAAUCUUGUGUCGUCUAAAUUCAAUUUGAGUCACUAAUACUAGCAGUUUCAUUCCUAUUUAUUCUUAUGUUCUACAAUCUUUGAUGGAAAAUGUUUUUCAUUCUAAAUAAUCCAAAUUUUCUGUAUUUAUCGAGAAUUGAUCAAUGAUUAGAGUACCUAAUUAUCCACAAAAUAAAGAGUGAUGACUCAUGCACUCUAAUCUCAUCUAAAACCUUGAAUACCACUCAACUAAUUUGCUGGUUCCGACAAAGAUAAAAUCUUCAAAUAAAUUUGAAGCACACCUAAUACCAAACAGACACAGACUGAAAUGGAAUCGUGUGGGUUCUCUGAUGAGAUCACAAUACUAGCCAUGCUUUGACAGGAACGGUGACAAAACUAAAUGUCUCACAAGAAAGAUAUAGCUGCGAGCCUGUGGUGAAAAUCUUUAGACCUAAUAGUUUGAAGGCUUUCAAGUUACAUGCAUAUAUAUUACCAGUCGUCAAAGCACUCAAGCUUCCAUGGCCAACCACAUAUCCCUGUAUGCGUCCAUUAGCUCAGUUACCCUAAGGGACCAUCUUCAUUGUCAAUGCCAAUAAAAGAGCACUCACUUUCUAGGGUUUGAAGUUUUCUUCGUAGAAUUAAUGGCAAAAAACCAAACAUUAUUAGCAUGCAUGGACAAGUUGAUCUGGAAAUAUUUCAAAAGUCCCCGACGCCUUUAUUCCUAGACAGUGGGACAAAGAUUUGGCACACGUAAGUGGUGGAAAUUUUGGUAUACAAAGUGAGAAAAUUUUAGGGAACUUCACUAUUAUCCAACUUUUCAUUUCCCAUAAUUAUCUUGCAUGUUAUGAUGUUAAACUAGGAAACAGGACGGUUUAAUUUUUUACAUGAUAUUGAACGUAUAGCUACUGAAUAACAUGUAUCCGACAAAAAAUUAACUCUUUCCACAAAAAUUAAAUUUUCUUUUAUAUUAUGAGGAUACAAGCUUCUAGUAUCCAUUUUUCAAGAAAAAGAACGUCAAGUCUACAUAUGUGAAAAAUGCUUUUGAUUAAUUGUUCUAGUGGAUUUGAGGUCACUAAAGAUAUUAUCAAAAGAAAAAAUGAUAGUUUUGUGAUUGAAUAAUGAUGAUUAGCUUUAACAAGACCAGAGAGUUGGAGGAGACUGAAGUCAAUAUAAUAAACAAAUGAAUCGGGUGUGCUUUCUCAAUCAAUCUCACAAACUCAAGGGGCCGGAGAGGGAAGGUAAGUUGCAUGCAAAGUUUUCAUAUACGUACGUGACGUGAGUUGGAUUCUUUCACAGACUCUGUUGCAAUUUUCCAAGUGCAAACGCGGUUUGACAAUCGGCACCAACUUAUUUUGUUCUUUUUCCAAGUUUUGUUACUCAGCCUCAGCUGUAUGUUGUGUUAAGAGUAAAUCUUACCACAGAAAGUUAAAAAAAAUUGCAUGGGUUUACUUUGCAAUGUAAAUUUUAGGGUAAAAUCUCGAAUAUUUUUUUAUGAUUUAGAAUAGGUUGUCCAAGCUAAGUAUAACGUUAUCUCACUCAUACGUGAACGGACGUAUUAAAAGUGUGACUCCUACAUCGGGAUCUCUCUCAUUAUUUCCAAUUAAUUUUAAAUUUAAACUUCUACUAAAAAAGAUUUCUCGGAACAAGAUUAAAAAAAAAAAAAAAAGACAAACAAAUAGUGUUACAUUAAAUCGCAUCUUCAUGAAGUGUUGUGUUGCAUGGGAGAAAUAGUGUUACAUAAAUAAUGAAAGUGUAGAGCGUUUGCCCACUAUAUAUAUUUUUAUGGGGUCGUUGAAAUUAGGUUAAAAAUAUUUGGCCCAACUUAAAAUUAAUUAAAUACCCACAUCAACCUGCAUAUAGCCACGACUUUGACAAAGUAAUUAGCCGACCAUAUGGUGUCCACCGUCUUCAACCUACACCUUUUAGAUAUUGCAGUGUACCAUGUAUGUUUUAUUUAAUUUUUUCAAAAAAAGACUGGCUGGUGUCUUCGUUUUUUAGAAAUUUGAAAGAUUUGAAGAGGCAUUUUAGCUUCUUCAUAACCACUAUUGCAUGAUUUACUAGUAACAAAAAUUGAAUUCAAAAUAAAUUUGUAGAAUGAACAUUUUUGUUUCGUAUAGCAUGAAAAUGAGAUUCGAACUAUGUCUUUAAAUAUUGAGAAAAUACAUAAUAAAAUUUUUUAAAAAAUCGUUUAAUGGAUAAGGUGGAUUGAACUUUUUCGAGAAUAAUGCUUGAGAAAUAAAAUUUUGUAAAUCAAGUGAUAUGAAUGUUAAUUAUUAAAUGAUUAUUUAAGAGUGAUUAACAUGUUUAUUGUUAUAGCCGGGGUAUUGAGUGCACCAAUAAAUAUUAAAAAAAACUAAUGAAAAGAAUUUAAAAACUUUGAGUUUUAACGAUAAGGACAAAAUGAAGACUAAAUUGAAUAGUACAAUAUUGACUUUUUAGUGUAAAAAUGUGGUUUUUCGUUAAAGUGAACAGUACCAGGAACUUUUUGUUAAAGUUCUCAAAGAAAAAUUAAUGAAAAAUACUUGAAAACUUUGAGUUUUAACGAUAAGGACAAAAUAAAUAGUAAUUUGAAUAGUUGUAACAUGGAGCUCGAUGGGACAGACUCAAAACCGUGUCUUGACGUGUCCUAAUCAACCUUGCAUAAGAAGUUUUAACGAUAAGGACAAAAUAAAUAGUAAUUUGAAUAGUUGUAACAUGGAGUUCAAUGGGACAGACUCAAAACCGUGUCUUGACGUGUCCCAAUCAACCUUGCAUAAUAUUGGAAGGUCACAAAUCGAGAAAGGGUUGAGGGCGGAUGGGCUAACUGUCUUCUUUUGGGGUAUGAGAAAGGAUAAAGGUUAUGGGUCGACGUGGGGAAUACUCUUGGGCCAAUUUCUAUAGAAGUAAAAGAACAGAGAAGUGAAAGCAGAUAUUGGGAAAAAUUGAACCUCUUAGGCAUUCAUGUGCUGAAUAAAACAAAAAGUCCAACAUCGAUUAUCUUACAAAACAAAUUACAACUUAUAUAGUAUGGUUCUACUUUUAAUUGUAUUGAAGUCUUUUGCAUAAAAAACUCACACCUAUUGAUUGCAUAAGCAAUUAAGUGUGGACAAUAUCGAUACUAUUAGUGGUGGACUGCGGUUUGUCUCUCUGAAACUUUAACAUAGUAUUAGAGAGGGUUUUCAGAUCUUGCCCAAAUUAUUGGGUUCACUUCCAAACAUGACCGAUGUGGCUCCACGUUUGGCCAACUCCAAAGUGGUCUGACGUGUUGAAUAAAGCAAAGACUCCCAUGCCAUCUUACAUAACAAAUCACAACUUAUAUCAAAUGGUUCAACUUUUAAUUGCAUUGAGAUCUUUUGCAUAAAAACCUACACCUAUUGAUUGCACAUGUGAUUAAGGGGUGGUUUGGGAGUGAGGUGCUUAAAAAAAAAACACCCAUAAAAAAAAGCUGUGAGGAUUUUAGGUGUUUGGUAAACUAAAAAAAAAUGCUUAUUUUGGAAGUUGCUGUGAGAAUAAGCUGAAAUCAAAGGAAAAAGCUGAAGCUGCUAUUUGCAACUUUGGAAAACUGGUUUUUUUUCAAAGCACACAGAGCUACAGUGCUCCUUUAAUGAAAAGACCCACCAUCAGACUGCUUUUUUUUUCCAAAUGAACUUUUACAAAAAAGUUUACCAAACACUCUGCUGAUUUAUUUUACAACCGCUUAUUCUUACAUCAGUUUUUUUUCAAAGUACAGCAAUACCAAACCAGCCCUAAGUGGGGACAAUAACGAUGCUAUUAGGGUCACCAUGACUUGUCUCUCUAGAACUUUAAUAUUUUUUUAUAUAUUGAUAUUUUUACACUAAGGAGAAUGGGAGUUAGGUUAAGCUGCACAAUAGACAACCUAAUUUGGUAUCAAAUUCGUCAUCCACGAUAUUCGAAUUUAAGACGUAUUGUUUCCAAGUGAAAAUGAAUACCAUCAGUUGCAUGAAAGUUUUUAUGUAACACUAAUCUUUCAACUCCUGUCUACAAAAAAAAUAUAUCUGGUAAAAUUCAUGGACUCUCUAACUCAAAAUAUCUGAUUCUAAAAUGUUUUCUCGGCAUCUAAGCUUUCAUGUUGUGGGGUUCGUAUUUUGCGGGAAAGAAAGAACUGAAACAAAUCAAAUCUGAUGAGGAUCGAAUCAAAUCAAGUUCCAAAUCCCUCCAAGACAUUUACCGGUUUCGGUCGAGACACUGUUCACACCAAAAAGGUACACUACACCCGGCAUGUGCUAUGAUUUGCUUCUUCGCAACUCUAGACGACCAUUUUGUGUAUUGGUUUCGUAGUCAACUAUGCUAGCAAGGUACUUGUCUAAAUAGGGUUUGGCAACAUUCACAUACGAACACUGUCUGAACCGUUUAUUAAUCUAAUAAUUCAGAAGUGUUCGUAUGUCAUAUCCAUUCGGAUGCCGAAAUUUCCCAAAAAUGCAUGAAUCAAGAACUAGAAACUAGAGUAUAUUGCAGGAGAGAUUCUCUUUCAAUACCAAUGUAUAAUCUCAUUGGCAUCGUCACUCCGAUGAAUGUUACUGCAUGUUCAAAACUUACUUUAAUUAUUCAAUAAAUAUUUGUCAUAUGACGUCAUCGGUUACAUGAUACUGCAAUCAUUCAUGACAUGACUUGAAGUGAGUUUUCGCGAUUGAAGGAGAUAGAGAAAGGAGGAUGCGUCUGUCCGACAUUUCUCCAACCCAAAAGAGAGAGGGUACAGAAAAGGCUGUAUACCCAGCUCGCCUAAACAGUAGAAAGUGACUUUGUAUUUCUACCUUGGAUACUGAAAGCCUUGUCUUUUUUCCUCUGUCACCGUCCAUUUAGAAUUUAUUGGCAUCUGGCAAACGUAGCAUCAAUCUUUGCGACUCAUUUGGAACACACACGAAAUGGCAAAUACAAGAAGAAAAAACAACAGUUCCGAUGUGAACUCGGCAAAAGCAUUAUUUCGGAAUGAUUCGUUAUUGCGAUUCCAAGCAAUUACUUUCCUCUAAGCAAUGCAAGAACUAUAUUGUGACAUACAUUUAAGGGUACAAACUAAUUCCGAGUCCAAAUAAUUCUGAAAACAUUUCGUCCGAUUCGAAUCCAAAAUCGGUAAUUCUUAAAUUCAAAAAAAUGGGGAAACCAUAAAAACAAUUUGUAUAGGAAUUGAAAUACAUUUAGUAUUUUGAAUUCGAUCUGAAAUUUCAAGACUUGCAUAACUCUAGUACACACUUAAUUAUUUACUUAUUGACUUUGUACUUAAAUAAGUAACUAUCUUUUUCAAUUACAACUCCCUUGAAUAUAUUACUCCCACAAAAAAAUAGAGAACUAUAAAAUUUUAUGGUUGCAGAGAGAGCCAUGGGAUGAUAUAUUUUUUUCCUCUUGGUAAAACUCCCAUAAUUUUGAAGUGAAAUAAUCCAAUUUCAAAAAUACCAAAUUCGACACGAGUAUAUGGAAUUCAAAAUUUCGAUUCUGAAAUUGAAAUUGAUACGCGUUUACACAACUUUUUGAAUUAGAAAAGAGGUGAAUUAUUGAACCGACAAGUCAGUACAGUUAAAUGAUAUAUAUAUAUAUAUUUUUUUAACAAACGAUAUUAUACAGAUAGCUCCCGUGGUCCGGACUAAUGCCUCUAUUAGGCGAGGACAACCUACACUAAAGGGAAGGCGGGAGGUUUGACCUUACACUGCUAAUAAUAAUGAGGCUAACUUUAUCUCCGAGGAAUUGAACUUAAAACCUUUCAUUAAAACCUCUUAUUUACAUAUUAUCGUAUAAGCAUAAUUCCCCGGACAAAAAAAGCAUAUGGCCUACAUUUUCCACGUCACCAUCUUACAAUCCCGCUAUCCACCUCCAUAGACCAAGUCCUCCGCCCCCUCGGCGUCGAAGUCUCCGUCGGUUCCAAUUCCAUAAACCUCACUCUUCUACGACUCGUCGAUGGUGGCGGCAUCGGCGUCCCCACCCUCAUCUCCGAACCCGAACUCGAACUUGCCGACGACGACACACCCCCGCUGAAACAACCAAACAGAUUCAUGAAAAAUCUCCUCAACCCACCGCUCUGUCUCCGUCUUCCUCCAUUUCUUGACCACGAAAUCCUCCUCGCAGCUCCGCCGCCGCUAAACCCGCCGUCCAUCUCCGUAUACACUACCGGCAUCUCUCUCUCGGCGCCUCUUCUCCCCCCACUAAAUCUCCCCACCGCGAAUCCGCCGCCUGGCAGCCUCCAGAUCGUCAGACCAGCGUUUUCGUCCUCUUCCUGACCUCGACCCUGACCCGUAUCGGGCGUCGAAUCGGCCGGUAGCUCGUGCCUGCAUACCGGACAUGAAUUCCGGAGCGUAAGCCACGGCAGUAUACAAUCGGAGUGGUAUAUAUGCUUGCAGGGCAUUUCCUGAGCUUCGGUGUUAACUUCGAACGGUUCUUUACAAACGGCGCAGUGAUGCCCCGCCGUUAUGUGAGCCUCAUCGAGCUUGAUCGUCGGCAUCGACUCAAUCGCCGACUUCGACGCCGGUCUCUGCUCGCAUCGCCCGAUUCCAUUGAUUUCGAACUGCGAUAGCUGUUCAAGUAGGCGGUCGAACCUAGACCCGAGAAGAAACUCGGACAUGCUUGUAGGCAAGGGUCGGAGCCCCGAGCCGCUACCGUCGUCGUAAAAGAGCUCAUAUCCGCGGCCUUCCUCGGUGGUGGCGGCGCCUUCGGCCGUUGUUCCGCGGAGGACGAUUACCGGAUUGAACGGCGAGCGGUCGCCGUUGUUUCGUCUAACUCUUCGGGGGGCGGACGGAACCGAAGCGGUAUGAUCCGGACUGGAAACCGAGCGGUUGUUGGCUCCAAUCAUGUACAUCGAGGCAGCUGAAAACCUCCUGCUGCGGCGCGAGUCCACGUUUCCGGAGGAGGUCGGGUUGUCGAUCGCCUCUACGAAGCCACUCUCGCAGUCCGAGCACACCACUGAGGAGGAUAGGGCGGAGGCGGUGGAGACGUCGGCGUCGUUGAAAACCCUAACGAAACGCCUACAACUGUAGCACCAGUAAGACGGCGUCGCCGCGGACAUGCAGAAGAUCAAUCAACCCUCCCUCAAUCGGAAAACAAAACUCCGCCGUUGAAAGUCCGAAUCGGAACGAAAUUCGAUCCGAGAAAAUGCGAAUCUUCCCAAUCGUAAAUUAUUGUUUGGGAGACGGGAAAAUGGACAAUAACCCCGAGAGAAAAUUUUGUAAAGGUUUUUUUUGGGGAAGGCCAAAUUUGAUAUUUUGCGUGUUGAAAAUACGAAGGCAGAAAGAUUUAUGGACGUAUUAACGGCAAAACCGCGUGGUGAGAACUCUCGCAAGUUUCUGACACGUAACGACGUUUAGUCAGCGUUAGAUAUCAGUCGGUCGAGUUUUGGAGGAGACGGCGCGUUUCGAGGAUGAAACGGAACGGAGUUUCAGAAGCCGCGGGAAUAGAGGCCUGCGCCGAGCCGGCACGAAAUCUAUAGGCUUGAAGGUUUCACAUUGUUCUAAACAGUAAACUGGUUGACGUGGCGAGACAUUUCUUAACUGGGAUUUUUUUUUCUUUUGUUAUUCUAUUUAUGGGGAAAAGGAGUUAUUUCUGGUUUUUUUUUUUGGUGGAAAAGUGUAAUUUCAGUUGGAGUACACAGAAUAUAGUUAGGUAAAUUGAAACGUAUUAAAUUUCUCUUGUAAGAUCCAUUCAUUAUUCAUUUUGUAAUUUCUCUCAUAAGAUCAUUUACACGCAUUUGAAUUUGGGUUUAAGAGUGUACUUGUGGCUGAUACUGUCCAUUUAAAUAGUAAAUUGUGAACAGUUACUGUCGUAGCUGUUUUUUUUUUUUUUAUCAUACUUAGGGCCUUCAUAUUUAGAUCUCGUAUAAAUACUCGAAAAACUCAAAUGUAAUUAUGUAAUAAAUGAAGAGGCAAAUAUAUAAUAAGUGAGAAACUCUUAUUCUAUAAAAAGACCCCUCACUCUCCUCAUUAGUGGAGGCCAAGAUUGAAGCCAUGGGAAGAGAGCACACAGAAAAUAGGCUAGAGAGCACACUGCCUCUAGCCUUCUUGUAUAUUCACCAUUCAGAGUGAAACAAUAUCAACAUCAGUGUUGACGUAGCCCAAACAUUAGGGUGAACCACGAUACAUCUUGUGUUCUUUAUUUUCUUACAAAUUCACGGUCGGAUUUACGUUGCUCCAAGACCCUUCCAGUUUUGUGCAUCAACAUUUGGCACCGUAUGUGGGAAUCGACACGAAAAUUUAUGUCGGUUCUCUCUCAAUUUUUCACCUCCGUCAUGAAUCUGCAAAAACAAUUAAAAACCCCAAAGCUGAAAUCUCCGCCACAUUGAGUAGGGAAGGCUGUGAAGGCAAAAGUCCAUCUCUGUCUCUCUGUUUCUUCCUUCAUUCCAAUGGUUGCAGUCGCUCUCAGGAACCUUGGGUCCAGGCGCAUCCUCCCAUACUCCUCGCAUAUCUACUUGUGCGGUCGAUGAUCGAUCGUCGCUGCCGGUUCUUCGCAGCUACCCCUGCAAGUCGAUCCUGAAAUGCAAACUUGUGAGCAAAAACGACAAGGACGACAUCAAAAACAACUCGGCCUCCUCCUCCGCCGUCAUGUGGGGCAUUCCCCUUCUGGGAAACGACGAAAAGGCCGACGUCGUCCUCUUUAAGUUCCUCCGCGCCAUGGGUUCCUGCUGCGGUUCCAGAUCCAGGCCACCUCACCGUCAAAUUCCAAGAUUCAAGCCUUCAGACAUUUCCUCCAUCUGGGACACAAGGGAAGAUCUCUGGUGGUGCCCUCCCUCCUCGUGAUGCCGAUGACACAUUUUCUAAACCUGUAUCUGGUUCUGAUGAACCCCAGCAAGGUGGUUGGUUACGGGUAUUCUCUGGAGCUUUUCUCACUCCAACGACUCUAAAACUGGUCUGCACAAAUGGGCCCUCCUCUAAAAGCCAAAAUUCAAGCUUUCAAUUCUCAAAUGGGUUCUUUUCAUUUUCUUCUCAUUGGCCAUUUCUAGCUCAAAAGCUCCCAGUCAGAAUCGGAAGGUCGGUGAUUGUUUUUGCAAAGAAGAACAUCAAUAAGGAGAAGAAGAAAGAAGACAACCACAACUUUGCAUCGAAACCGGAUGAGGCCACUGGGCCUUUCCCUGAAUCUAUGCUGCUUAAACAAAAGAAAGUUCAGGAAGAUGGUAACCUUCUCCCUAAGUUUGCAGAUGCCGAAGAAGAUAAGGUGUAUGAAUUUUUUAAGCUUCAGCUGCAAAAGCGAUUUGAAUGAGGAAUGAAUGCGCACUAUGAGCUGGUUUAUCUGAUUCAUGAGAAACAUGCCGAAGAGGUUGGGAGUGUCAAGCAAGAAAAUCACGUGAGGCAGGAAAAGCAAGAAAAUCAUCAACCAUCUUAGCUCUACCCCCAGCACAAUUGUGAAGAAAUCCAUUUUUUUUAGAAAGCAAAAGUGGAAUAAAGGAAAAAGGGAAGAAAAGGAAUACAGAAAGGAAACAGCCAGGAUUAUACUCUUGCUUUUGUCGACCACCAAAGAAGACGCCCACACUUUCAUCAUGCAUGUUCCCAUUUUGAAAAACCCACCCGGGGAACAUGCAAAAGUAUCAAAGUAUGAGAGACCAUGCUUGCUGACCAAACCUGCCUUCACGUGAAGGUUUCUUCCAAUAGUUGGACUGCUGAGGUUGAUGUGAAGGGAGAAAUCUUUAUGUUGCCAAGUCCCAUCAAUUUUUCUUUGAAUGAUGUGAUUUACUUUUCUUAUCUUUUGGAGACAUUUGUAUAAACCCACCAGAGGGUAAUAAAAAAAAACAGCAAGCCCAAAAUAAUAGGCUGGAAUGUUAUGUGGAGGGCAAAUACCCAUAUGCCAAAAAGAGCCAGGCCCUCUAUUAUCACCAACCAAGUGAUCAAAAGUACGUCCAGUACUCCAAAAUUAUUCAGCAACCUGCCGCUAUUAUCACCAACCAGGUGAUCAAAAGUACACACAGUACUCCAAAAUUAUUCGGCAGCCUGCCACUUUUAUCACCAACCAGGUGAUCAGAAGUACGCCCAAUACUCCAAAAUUAUUCGGCAGUCUGCCACUAUUAUCACCAACCUUUGGUAGCCUGCCGCUAUUAUCACCAACUAGGUGAUCAAAAGUACGUCAAGUACUCCAAAAUUAUUCGGCAGCCUUCCGCUAUUAUCACCAACUAGGUGAUCAAAAGUACGUUCAGUACUCAAAAAUUAUACAUGAGCAUCACUUAUGUCAAAUCAUACAUAAACAUUCAUGAGCAUCACUCAUGUCAACAUUUAUGAGCAUCACUCAUGUCAACAUUCAUGAGCAUAACUCAUAUAAACAUUCAUAAGCAUCACUCAUGUUAAUCAGCUUCGAAAGCUUCAUUUACGAAGCUCCGACUUCAAAGCUUCGUUUACAAAAGUUCCAGCUUCAAAGCUUCACUUUCAAAGCUUCACCUACAAAGCUUCAGUGCAUGGUAUACAAAGACCGCAUCCGAACAACCGCUACUUUGGCCCAUACAUGGAUUAAAUUUGAAGUCUCCAACCAACAUACUCUAUUGACUGAAGACUUGGGGGACUACACUAUGUACUAUAUAUUGGGCUUCCGUAAUUGGGUCUCAUGAAAAAUACUUAGGGGAUUUAGCCCAUUAUUUAUGUACUGAGGAGCGAACCCUUAUUCUAUAAAAGGGAUUCCCUCACUUUCAUUAGAGAGCACCCAUUAUUCACGUAUUGAGGAGCGAACCCUUAUUUUAUAAAAGGGACUCCCUCACCUUGAUUAGAGAGAGACUCUUAGCCCAUCACUUAUGUAUUGAAGAGCGAACCCUUAUUCUAUAAAAGGGACUCCCUCACCUUCAUUAGAGAGUAUCGCCUCUUACUGAGCAACCGCAUUGCCACAAACAUCACUCAUAACCCAUCACUUAUGUAUCGAUGAGCGAUGCCUUAUUCUAUAAAAGGGACUCUUUUACCAUCAUUAAAGAGUAUCGCCGCCUGUUGAGCAACCGCCUCGCCGCGAGCAUCAACUCUAGCCCAUCAUUUAUGUAUCGAGGAGCGAGCCCUUAUUCUAUAAAAAAGACUCAUUCACCUUCAAUGCCACAAGCCGAGCCAACCAAGGCAACAUAAGCCACAAGCCGAGCAGUCUCACAACAUGUGCUACUUCUAGUUGAGCAUCAUUUCACAUUGAGCACCGCCUUAUAUCGAGUAUUCAGUUCUAGACAACAUCUAGUUACUUCGGUCCACACAUGGACUGAAUUUCAAGUCUCCAACCAAAAGACUCUCUUGACUAAAGACUUAGGGGAUUACUGUUUGUACCAUACUUAGGGCAUCCGUAUUUAGAUCUCGUAUAAAUACUCGGGAGACUCAAAUGUAAUUAUGUAAUAAAUGAAGGGGCAAAUAUGUAAUAAGUGAGGAGCCCUUAUUCUAUAAAGGACUACUCACUCCUCAUUAGAGAGGCCAAGAUUGAGGCCAUGGGAAUAGAGCACACAAAAAAUAGGCUAGAGAGCAUAUUGCCUCUAACCUUCUUGUAUAUUCACCAUUCAGAGUAAAACAAUAUCAACAUCAGUGUGGAUGUAGCCCAAACAUUGGGGUGAACCACGAUACAUCUUGUGUUCUUUACUUUCUUGCAGAUUCACGGUCAGAUUUACGUUGUUCCAAGACCUUUUCGGUUUUGUGCAUCAACAUUUUUUAAAUUAAUUUAACGGUUGAGGUUAAUUUAGAAUAUGUUGAUAUGAUUAUGCUACCAUGCAUCCAUUGUUAAUAGUAUUUACCAUGGAUCUGGACUUGGGGCUAAAAUCAAUGUGUCUGAUGGCAAGUAGGGAUGGGCAAAAUACCCGCAGUUAUGGGUAACUGAGGUUACCUGUCCAUUUAAACUUCAUGGUUACCGUUAUGGAUAACUGUUUAGAUAAAUAAACGGUUAUGGGUAUAACCGUUUACCCGUGAAAUUUAAAUUGAUGGUUAUGGGUAUUAACUGCAGUUAUAAACGGGCAACUGUUUACCUAUUUAUUUUAUAUAUGUAAUGUUGAAAAAAUAAAAUUAUAUAUAUAUAUAUGUAUGUAUGUGUGUGUGUGUGUAUAUAUAUAUAUAUGCGGUUAUUUGACAUGGGAUGGGAAGUUGUGUUAUUAACCCAACAAUCACAUCUCUUCAAUUUGAAUGUUGCAUCUUUUGAUUGUUGCCGAAAAGACAUGAUUCUUGGUCAACAAGUGUAAUCCUUCUCUUAACUAUGUUCUCUAUCGGACAAAACUUAAAUCAAUCCUAUUGACUAUAGUGCAUGGUUUAUAUAGCUAAUUAUAAUAUAAUGUAGCUCGUUAAUACUUUACAUUAUGGGUUAAAUAACCAAAGAAUACUAUCUUCUAAACAAUUUUUGUAACCCAAUAAUACUUAGCAAAUAUUAUAGGGUAAAUUACAUAGUAGCCCCUCAGGUUUGAGGUCUAUUGCAAUCUUAUACAACAUCUUUAAAACAUUUCACUUUCAUACCUCAAGUACUAUUUUAUUUCAAUUUCAUACAACCGUUACAUUUUUCAUCCAUGAAUAUGUUAAAUGCUGACGUGGCUGCCACAUAUAUGCCACGUGGCUGCCAAAUGUCUGCCACGUGGUAAAUAAAAUAAUUUUUUAAUUUCGUAAUAGUUAAAAAUAUUCCGUAAACUAUUAUUUCAAUUAUUAGAAUGAUAUAAGGACUUAAAAAAUUACAAUACAUAAAUGUAUGUUGAAUGUACUUAUAACGGUGUUUAAUUGUUAAAAAAAAAGAAAAUCAUGACAAUUUUUUUUUAUUUUCAAGUUGUUAAAAAACAUGUAGACGGUGAAAAAGAGGAAAUGGUAAAAAAAAAAAAGAUAAACGGGGUUAAAAAGGUUAAAUGGGUAAACUGGUAUUAAACAGUUACGGUUAAAUGGGUAUGCGGUUAUGGGUAUGGUUAACCGUUUAUAAACGGUUAUGGGUAUGGGUAUAAUCGUUUAGAUAAUUACUUAACGGAUAAAUGGUUAUGCGAGUAUGAGUAUAAACGGUUGGGUAAAUAACCACGAUUACCCGUCCGUCAUAACCGUUGCUCAUCCCUAAUGGCAAUGCUCCAUUAACUACGGUGUGUGUGAAAUGUGAUAUUUAUUUAUUUAUUAUUUUUUUUAGAAUAGCACAAUGUUUUGGUAGUGUAUGUUGCUGACUUUUAUUUUAUUUUGCGGAGAAAAAAACAAAAUAAAACAUAUAAUAAAACACUUAUAAAGAAUAGAAACAUAUAUUUCAGUUCAAACAUAAAAACGUAUACAAAAAUUAUUCCGUAUUUUUCACUUAAUGCUACGAUUUAAUGAUAUUUCUCUAAAUUUGUAAGUGAAAUAUCUUAAGGUUCGAUUUUUGUCAGAUACAAAUUUGAAUCAUAUUAUUGUUAGGCCAAUAUGAGGCUAAGCCCAUUAUGUUGGAGAUAAUAAAAUCAUAUUAUUGUUAACUCAUUACAAAACUAAGCCCACACCUCUUCUUUUAAUAUAGAUAAUAUUGUUUGUAUUAAAAAUUCGUCCACAUUUUUGUACUUUCUGAUCUAUUGCUAAUUUGCAAUCCAACCGGAGCGAGCUACGAGUGAGUGGCGGCUCGGCCGAAGAUGCAACGUGGUUACGGCUAAGGAGCUGCGUCAUCAUUUGAACCGGUUUGUUGUCCAACACGUCAUCAUCAUUUUGUCACAUCGCACGCCUCUUUGUCUUCUUUGCAUUAAACGCUUCGUUUGCUACCAUUCAUUAUUCAUUUUGUAUUCUUUGUCACAGAAAACAAAUAUUUCAGCAAGAAAAUCACUUUAAUUUUUUACGAUAAAUAAAUAAAUAUAUAAAAUAUCGUCUUGUAUGUUGGUCAAUAAUAUAUGUUUUGAAAAUGUCAAUUUUGAUAGGGUCAGAUGCUCUCCUUUUUGUUUGUUCAAAUUUUUAAUAUUUUCAAUUAAAAAAGAUAAAUUAUUUUAGGUGCGGACUAGGCCCAAAAAAUCAAAUACCAGUUAGCAAUAUAACAGCCCAAGGUCUAGCCCACUAUAAAUCCUUCAAAAUAAGUCAAGAUCAUUUGAUCAUCAAUCACAAAACAAAACAAUAGUACAACAAACAAACCCAAAUUAAGAAUAUAGUUAAUUUAACCCUAGAGACCAUCUUUUUAGAUCAUAUUUACAGACUAUGUGGUGGUGUUACGGUUAAUGGUUAGAUUAUUACUUAAAAUUGUUAAAAAUGAAAUCCAACCAUCAACAACUGCAUCGUUUAGUUUACAAAAUAUAAUAUAAAAAAUGAUCUCCCUAGCAUUUUCCUUUUGAUUAAUUAGCAAUUCAAAGUCCCAAAAUCAGUUGCAAACAAAAUCAUCGGCAUUUACAAUCAUAUACUUUAUUCAACAAUUCAAGAAAUAAUAAUUAAUUAACCAAAUACAAAUUAAUUUACCCCAACUAAACUAAUAUUCAUACGUCCACACACGGCAGUCCACAAAACAAAGAAGUGCAUCUUAUUCUUUCAUCGUCUUAGGGUUAAAGAUCUCACCAUCUUCCUAAACUGAUCGCCAAACGAAGUAUACGAAACGGUCCCAUCGUUCCCAGCAAGCACUUUGUACUUGUCCUUCCUUGUGAAGUUGGUGCACUCAAACCCUAACGUGGAGGCCAAGAUCCUCUGCACGUAAUUCGCAACAUCAUGAGGGCUUUUCCCAGAUGAACACGUGGCUUCCACAGGCAACUGGUUCAAGAACGUAACUUCGUAAACUGGCCUAGGGUUCAUGAAGAAGAAUAUGGGGUCCAAAGCUUUCCAGCCCCUUGCUGUCGUUGCAUGGAAAAACCCUACCCUGUAGUUCAUGGCCACCGGGACGAUUCGGUUUGUAAGCUCAGCAAAGAGUGCACUAAACCUCAAAAGAAAAGGUUCACGGCACGUCGUUCCUUCGGGGCAAACAACCAAGUCCCCUUUGGUUAGUUCAAGCUUGAUUCUCUCAGCAUCGACGUGCCGAACACGAGUUAAUCGAACGGUGGGGAUUGGGGAUAGGAGCUCUGAUAGUCGAGAUAGAGUAUGUGACUGCUGGAAUCCUACGUUUGAGUACGGUGGAGAGUAUAACGGGGUCCAUUAGGGUUCGGUGAGUGCAGACGAAUAGCACGCCUGAGUUUCCACCGGAGAAGGGCGGUGGUGGUUUGCCUUUCACAAUGACUUUACCACCAAAUAGUUGAGACAUGUAGGGUAUAGCCCUCAUUGGCAAUAUCAAUCCCAUGAAUAGGCGAAUGAAGGCAAGUGAGAUGCCUAGGGGCAUCCAUAGGAGGAUUAAGAGGGCGGUUGAAGGUGUAGGGCGCUUGACUAGUCGGCCGUCGUGGAAGAUCACCGGGAGUGGUCGGAGGACUUGCUGUUCAUCAUGCUUUUUGUUGGCGAUCAUAAGUGGUGGGUGGAUUUGUUCCUGUAGUGACAAGCCAUGCAUGCAUAAUUUACUUCAUUAGUACCACACCAAGAUAAUUUACUUAAUUAGUAAGUAUGCAUCGUUAUGUUAUGUGUUGAUAAUGAAUAGAACAAAUGGUUCAGAUCCAAUAUGUAUAUAUUAUGUAUCACGUCAGUUGUUAAUAAUACUAUUCAUUUCAAAUAUGUACGCACCUUGCAUAGGGAUAAAAAUGAAGAACCAGAUGAUGAAGGCCUUCCCAACCCUAAUGUCGGUUGUUCCUCAUCCACAAACAGCUUGGCCACUCGACUGUAUAUGUUAACUUCACCUUUAACAAAGCCGGUAGCAAACCCAAAUCGGUUUACAAGAAGCUCACUGCCAAUAACUUCAUCAGCUCUCAAAUGCUCCUUCACAAACCUCUCCACCAUAAUCCUUGGCAUCUUAGUCACCACAACCCUCUUAUCAUAUGAGCUAAACACUUUCCAAGCCUCCGUAUCCAAAUCAUCCAUGUAAAACUUUGGCAACACUGCACGAGACACGGACUCAAUCUCUGAUUUCGGAACACCAAAAACAGCAACAAAAGUCAUCAGUUUAAGCCCGGCUUCCUCCAUACCUAUCAUCUCCAGAAACCGGAUCACCGGCCACAUCAUUAACAACACGGCAAACCGUAUCAAACCUGACGCCUCAAAUGCUACCAACAUGAAGUAAGAGAAGGGGUCAGGAUCCCUUAGAAGUGUUCCUUCGAGCUCCGAAACAAUAGACUCCAUUGAGCCAGUAUGGGUUUGCAUUUGUUUUCUACGGAUUCUUGUUUUUCUCGGUUUGGGAUUAAUUAAGACCAGGAUUAUGUGGUUAUAAGUACUAUAUUUGGCUUAGGAUUAUGAUUAUUUGACGACUGGUUAGAAGAAUGUAGGAAUGGAUCGGUUUAUCAGUUUACAACAACCCUAAUUACUUUAUAACAUUUUCUAAGAUCAAUCUUUCUCUCUCUAAUUUGACCAUCUGGAGAGAUUUUUCAGUAUGACCGUCACACGAGACGGUACACCACGUGUCCUUAUAUAAAUAAUGGGAUAUAUGUGUUAAAAGAUUAAUAACUUAAAAAUUAAAAAUUUUCACCUCUUACAUAAAAACACGUGGUAUACCAUCCGUAUUCCCAUCACAACUAAAAAAUUUCUCCAGCUUUUAGGUUUUUGAGGUGGAUGUAACAGCAAAGGAAAAAGUAUCAUACGCCACGUAAAUCCACUGAAAAUUUGGAUUACUUAACCCCAACAACUUUGGUGACGUGGACGUUUAAUUUGCGAUACAAAAGUCCAUCUGUACACACCUAAUAGCAGGUCUGACUUGGUGCCUUUAGGUCACUGACUUCAACAUUUUACAACGUUAUUAGUGAACAUGUUAUUCAAUCAAUCUUCGUAUAUAAGUCUUGCAGAAAGUUUAUGUAACAGUGGCCACCCCACGUUCAUGUUGCACGGGGGCAUACGAGUCCAUGCCAAUAGCUGGCUGAUGAGGAAAUUUUUGGCAGAUAUCGGUUUCGAUUAUUUUGAUCUUUUGGUUUUUCCACGUUUUAGAUUUUGAUGUAUAUAGUUUUAUAUGGCUUUUCCUUGUUCUUAACAGAUUUUUCCCAUUAAGAAUAUUGUCGCAUUGUACUAAUUUCCUUUUUGCAUUCUCUUAUUUACAAACUUGCACUCGUGAUUGAUGUGUUUUCUUUGCUGUCAAAAUUGGAGAUUUCGUAAUACAGUUUACAUGGACAUACUACAAAGAUCUCCCAGCUGUAGGUUUAUAAUAUAUAAUCAUCUUUUAGAACGUAGGAGGAUACUAACAAAAUGCCACAUGUACAUACUUCACAAAAGUAAAGAUUCUCGUUCGUACCCAAUAAAAAAUUACAAAAAAACCAACAAAUUAAUUGAAUAUCUCAUGUACUUUUGUUUUGACAAUAUUUGACUUUCAUGGCCUGCUAGUUUAAACAGGUUUAUGAAUGAACAUGUUAAGGAAAGAUAACUUAGGUUAAAAGUCAAGUAAAAACAAGAGGAUUCAUAUCCUUGGAAAUUGUUUUGCAACGGUAACAAAUCUUCAAUAUAUCUUCAAUAUCAAGUUUUUGUGUUGAUUAAUAUGUCAAUAACUCAAAUAGGAUAGUAAUAAAUCAGGAAAAUAUAUCAAAUUCGCGUAGGUCAUACCUAACAAAUGUCCUGUAGAAUUCAAAGGAGGAGGAUAUACAGAACUCAAAUCACUAGUUAUAUUGAUCCUCAAAUCAAGCUAGCCACUUGCCGUCUCCGGCUUUCGUGCGAUCUCCGGCUUUCAAAGUAGGUUAGAAAUUAGCAAAGCUUGCAAGAAGAAUCAAUUCAAAGUAGGUUAAAAAUUAACCAAAAGCUAGCCAUUUGCCGUCUCCGGCUUUCGUGCGAUCAAGUAUGCUGUUAAUUUGCUUUAUCAGAUUGACACGGAAAAUUUCUGCUCCAAGUUAGGUAAUGUUGGUUUGAAUAGAUGAUGAAAACCAACAUUUCAGUUUCAGCAUUAUAUAUAUAAAUAUACAUACGCACACAUACACUGAGUCUUUAACCGAAGGGAUCUCCAUAUUUUUUAGAAAAUAAUGAUUAGUUGUGGGCCCAAACGACAUAGAACUUCAACAAUCUAAAUCGUUUAGUUUUCAAGUUAGCACCUCAUAAAUUAUCCUUGCAAAAUAUUAGCCAAAUCGUAAAUAUUGAGGCAUUUAAUUGAGCUCAAUGAAAUUGAUGAAUGCUAUGGUCUAAGAAACAUUGAAACUUCAUUGUGACUAUUGAAUAGUCAAAUGGUUUCAGAUUGAAAAUUUCAUUGUGACAAUUGAAUGGGCAAAUGAGUUUGAAUUGAAUUAAAUUUUUGCAAGGAUGACCUAUGAAUCGAAAUUUAUAACAUAUACGGUUCGAAUCAUUGAAGUUUGAUGUGAAGCGAGUUCCAUAUUAAUCUCCUUUUUUAUUUAUUUAUUAAAUUGUAGCAAUGGUCUCUCAACUUUAAUCAAAUUGGAGCAAUGAUUCUUCAAUUAAAGGUCUAUUACUAUUGGUCUAUCAACUCAUUAAAAUGUGGAGCUAUGGUCAUUUUCGUCAACUUCGUCAAAAUUUUGUCAAAAUAAGUUAUGUUAGAAGGACCAUUACUACAAUUGGGACCCCUUAACUCAUCAAAACAUGUAGCUAUGAUUAUUUUCGUCAACUUUGUUAGAAUUUUGUUAAAAUGAGUUAUUUUGGAAGGACCAUUGCUAAAAUUGGGUUAAAUUUGAGGGACAAUUUCUCUAGUUGGAUUAAAGUUGAGGGACCAAUGGUAAUGAAUUUUUAGUUGAGGGACCAUAGUUGCACGUUUUGAUGAGUUGAGAGACCAAUGAUAAUGAAUUUUUAGUUGAGAGACCAUUGCUCCAAUUGAGUUAAAAUUAAAGGACUAUUUCUACAAUUUACUUUUUUUUUUCUUCCAAAAUGGGAUCCCUCUCCAUAAAGGUUCUGUACAUAUAUAUAGACGGAGCAUACUACAAAAUCACUAAUCUCGAACCCAAUUUCAAUUUGUGUUUCAUACUUUUGAGUUCUCACCAGCUACAGUCACAUCCGCCAGCUUACUCCGAUACACGUGCCGACGUACGUUUUCCGGCCUGUAGGUGCGUUUCGAUUAGCGUGAAGAAGUGGUAGAAUAUGAUUAAGUUCAAUUUCCCACCCAAAAUAGGCCCAACAUUGAUAGAUCAGGCCCUCAAGAGGAAAACCUUCAUCCCAACCCACCAAAAUGUUGAAUGGGCUUAGAUUUUUGGGGUUGUGCAGGAGCAUCCAAGUUGAUAUGAUGACCUAAACGAAACUGACGUACAAUAUAACGGAUUUGGAUCCCAUCCGAAUUGAAAUGGUGAGGAUGGUAGGAAUUUUUACAUUUUUAUCAUUCAACGUGUAUCGUGCGAUCAAUUUUUUUUAUAAAUUAAACACAAAUAGUGCCUGACGAAAAUUGGGCGAACGAUGUACAAUGAACGACUAAGGAUCCUCACAAAAUGAAUCUGGAGAUGAUCCUCUUCAACAAGAAUCACUAUUCACAAAGUUUUAAAUAUGGUUACGGUGGUGGACAAACUUCUCCAUGAAACAACGUCAUUGGUAGCAUGUAUAGUUUCGGUUACAUUGAAGGGCCUACUUGAUCUAAUCCUUAAUUCUUUUUGUUAGUAGCAUGGCCAACAGGAUUCUCUUCGGAUUCUUAUGAUGAGGAUCCUGAAAAUCCGUAAAUCGUAUCUACAAAUAAAUGGAUAUUUUUGUUUUUCUAAAAAAGAUCAAAAAUAAAAAGUCUUUGGUAUUAGUUCACUGCCGACUGCGAACUAACUACGUCAUUACUUUUACCUUCAAUAUUUCACCGACCUUUCAAAUCAACAAAGGUCACAUUCACAUCAACAUAUCUGCUGCUACCUUGGUUGAAAUCUUGCUUGAGUCCUGUGCGCAAUGUUGAAAAUCUAGCUAAAUGAUUAACGACACCAGUUUAAACCAUGAGGGUUAUUACUGGUUUGGUAUUGAUAUGAUUUUAUAAAAAAUAAGUAUAAAAUAAAGUUGAGUUUAAAAAGGUGUUUGGUAAACACCUAAAAAAAAACUUAUUUUCAUAGUUUUGGAUGAAAAAAAGCUGAAAACAUGAAGCAGCAAAAACGAGUUUAUUCUCACAGCACAGCAAAAACAGUUUUUUUUUCAAAACACAGCAAUGCCAAACCAAUACUUGGACGAGGAAUGAGAUGCGGUAGAAUGAAGAGUAUUAAGUAGUUUAGAGAUAUACUCAUAGUUCGAAGCUCUCAUUUAUAAUUAAAAGUAUUUACUGGAGACAAGAUCAGAGAUGCAAGAGCAUAUAAUAUAAACUAUAUACUAUAUAUAUACAUUGACUGUAAGGUAAGCAAUGAAAAAAUCAUUACCGUAUGCAGUUGCCCUAAUAAGGAUAAGCAUCACAAGAUCGUUAUGGCGGACAUAUGGCUAGCCAUGAAUUCCGCUUUGCCAAAUUUCGAGGUUAUGCCUCACCCUUUCAUGUAUACAUAUAUAAAUCUUUUCCUUUGAUUUCUUUAUUAAAAUUAUCCGCAUAUGAGUUUGGAAUAUAAAAGAUAAGAUAGAUAAUUAAACUGUUUUUCUCUUUUUCUUUUUGCUUAACAGAUAAGGGAAAUAUGCUGCACAAUAUUUAUUUUUUAUUUUUUAUUUAAACACCUACUUUAAUUUUCUUCUCUUAUAUAUAUAUACUAGCAGAGAACAUACAUUUUGUGUGUGUGAACAAUUUCUCUUAAUAAGUGCAUAUUUUUUUUAAUAUUACAUAAUUACUGUUUUGUUCUCCUUGUGUAAAUAUUAUGUAUAAAAAAUGAGGGUAAAAUUGGAACAAUAAAUAUAUGAUUGUCAUUUUCUUAAAAAAAAAAAGGUAAAAUAACGAUAUGAUUGUUAUUUUGUCAAAAGGUACAAAAUUACUAUUUUGCCAUCCUUUUGUCAAUAGUGUGUAUCAAAAGUGAGGACAAACUGAGAAAAAAAAAAGAGAAAAAAGUUGACAAGCGGGAUUCUCUUAAUAGUAUACUUAAUUGAAUAGUUAUACACACUCAUACAUACAUACAUAUAUAUAUAUAUACCUUUUUUUUCUUCUAAGUAGUUGUCGUGUUUAAGCGUAAUUAGGGUUUUAACCCAUGAACUGCAGACAGAAUAAUAGUUUAUUUGAUCUUUUCAAAAAAAAAAAAAGUUUAUUUGAUAAGAAGGAAUGUGGAGCAGGGGAGGUGGAGCAGCACAUAUUAAUGAAUCAUGUGGAAGGAAGCACAGACAAGUCACGUGACCCUCCUCAACACAGAGAAUAUCAUAAUCAUAUGAUACGAUGAAUGAAGCCAAGUGACUCACAUAUCUGCAAAAUCAUCGUCGUCCACUGCUAUUUGCAUAAAUAUUAAUAUUGUAAAUGUAAACAAACUCUUGGCUGACUUGACCACUUAACUAACAUUAUCACCUUCUGUAUUUUUUCUUCUUCUUUUUGAUCGGUGCUUUUUCUGUAUUUUAAAAGAAAAGAAAAUAAAAAGGCAUCUUUGGUUGCCCAUAUGGUUUGGGUUUUUGGGGUCUUGGUGGUACUGGUAAGUGGUUGCUAGGGUUUUUAGCCGCAUUCAGAGCAUAAAUUUAUAUUCUCUGGGUUUUAGUGGGUCGCAGUAUUAGUGAAAGUUUAAAAUAAGAUCAUUCCAUUUUAUAUUUUGUUGAUGCUAAAAUUUAGUUGAGUUUUUUUAUUUGAUUGGUUGAGUCGAGUUGAGAUUCUAUCGUUCUAACUAGGAAAAAAAACGUAAGGGUAAUGUUGAGGAGAUGAUCAAUUUAAAUCAUAUUUUGUAAAUCAUAUGACGUGGUUGUUGAUGAAGAUUAUUACUUAAGUGUUGAUUAAUGUAUUUGUUUCUUAUUAUUGACACAUCACAUGGUUUGCAAAUGUUGUCCAAAAAAUUGAUCCACCUUGCAUUAAUCAGAAAAAAAAUUAGAAAAGUCUUGGAAGACAUUGACGAGGUGAUUAUAAAAGUGACACCAUUGUUGUAUCAAAUACCUAGUUCUCCAUUUAGUGGUACUUAUCUUUUUGAUGUUGAAAAAAAUACUAAAUUUUUAAUCUUUCAUCCCAGUUGAUUCUAGAAAGACAAUUCGUGAGUAGUUGGUAUAGCGACACUGAGUCUAUUUAAUUAGAGAAAGUAUGAGGUUAACUCAGACAAAUGUGACAAUUGUAAUGAGAAAAGAAAGGUUACUAGCGUGUGUAUUAAAGAAUUCUUGUAGCCCUAUAUUGAUCACCUUAUUAAUUGUUGCCUAAUUAAAAUCUCUCCCACUAUCAUGAAUGUGCCUAACAUGUCCUUCAAUGAGUAAUUGACCAGUCCUCCUAAUGAAUGAGAUUUUAGCUGUUCUUACUGCACAUAGGCAUCACACUUUCAACCAAGCAGCUAUGUUAGCUGGGUUCUCAAAGUCUGUCUAGGAUGAUUCCUGAGAUGUGUUGGGUUCAAACAUUUUAUGUCACGUCCCGGCUCGAAACGGAUCACUUUCCGGGCCCGCUCUACCACUGUAGCACGAUAUUGUCCGUUUUAGGCCUCGAUCAUGUCCUCACGGUUUUGUUUCUGAGAACUCACGAGCAACUUUCCAGUGGACCACCUAUCAUGGGAGUGCUUUGGCCACCUUCUCGCUUAACUUCGGAGUUCCGACGGAACCCGAAGCCAGUAAGCUCCCAAAAAGACUCGUGCUAGGUAGGGAUGCGAAUAUACAUUUAAGGAUCACUCCCAUGGACGAUAUGGGAUGUUACAAUCCACCCCCCUUAGGGGUCCGACGUCCUCGUCGGCACACUUCCGCCCAGGGAUUAGCUCUGAUACCAUUUGUCACAUCCCCGCCUGGGGCGGACCACUUCUCGAGCCCGCUCCACCACCGUAGCACGAUAUUGUCCGCUUUGGGCCCCGACCACGCCCUCAUGAUAUUGUUUCUGGAACUCACGAACUUCCCAGUGGGUCACCCAUCAUGGGAGUGCUCUGGCCACCUUCUCGUUUAACUUCGAAGUUCCAACGGAACCCGAAACCAGUAAGCUCCCAAAAUGCCUGAUGCUAGGUAGGGAUGAGAAUAUACAUUUAAGGAUCACUCAUCUGGACGAUGUGAGAUGUUACAUUUUAAGCUCGGAAACUCAAACGCAAUUAUAACGCCAGGAACAUCACAUUUUUGUACCACAAAAUAUUAAACCGAGAAUAGUUUAGCAGACGCAUAUUUGUACAAUAUUUGUACACAAAAGUUAUGCAACUAGUUAAAAGUUAGUACAACACUGUUGAGAUGGUUUGAUAAGGUAAAGCCGUAAGCUUAAAUACACCUUUCAAAUUGACUCGUCAUGGCAAGAAUUUAUUUGCAGGAGCACAUGGAUGGAAGUUACUUCUUAUAGUUCAUCUCUACCUGUAAUAAACUUGAAUUGCAGAACUGUUUUGGGUCCUUCUCUAACCCUCCUAACAAUUGUACCUUGCAAUUUACUAAUUAUUUUUAAUUUGCUAUUUAUAGGGACGAAUUCGUGACAUCACUUUUUUACACAAUUUUUGAGGUACAUUUUUGUGGGCAUACUUUGUAAUGUGUUUCAACUAUCCGAACUGUCUAUCAUUUAAGUAUUUCCUUAAAGAUCAUGUGCACCAAAUUACCUAAAAUUGGAACCAUAUGACCGUUGGAUUACUAGUUUAGGGUUUCUUUGUAGAACUAUACUCGUCCAUUUAUUCACUACAAAUGAAUGUCUUAAUGGUUUGGAUUUGUCUAAUUUUUUGUAAGCAUGAUUUAUGAAUGAUGUUCUAUAAAAAAAAGAUAGUUUAAAAUACAUUACAGAAUGUGUCCCACAAACACGUGUGUAAAAAUUAUGUAAAAAAAAUGGUGUCGCGAAUCCACCUUCAUUAUCUAUCUAUCUAUAUGAGUGCGAACAUAUAAUUGUACUAAUUGAGAAAAAAAAAUUAGCAAAUGAAAUUUUCUAUGCAAAUUGUGUGACUUAAUCGAAUUUUUCCCUCCACUUAGUGUAAAAUCUAUCGUUGUACCAAAAAAUAAAAAAUUUCCUAUUUAGAUCAUCACCCCAAAAAAGAAUGAAAUUAUAUGCCAGAUGCAAAAACUGAGAAUCAAAUUUACAUUAUUUUUUGAGCGAAAGAUAUCUACACCAAGGAAUAAAGGUUAACUAAAUCUCAUAAUAAAUUAGUAAUAAUGUGGUUCAAAUUUCAUUUUCAACAACUGAGAAUUAAUUUACUCAUAUACAUACGUUGAAGCAUAACGCAAUCUCUUCACAAGAUUUGACAUUUCCUUUCCAAAAAAAACCAGAAAACUAACAAAAUAAAUAAAUAAAUAACGUGCCUAUUAAGACCUUGAAUUAAAGGAAUUAAUUAAUCCCAAACAAAAGAGGCAGGAGGAGCUGCAGUUAGUCGAUGAAACAGAACCCUAAAGACCUCUUCGUAGGAACCAAAUCCUGGCCGUCAUUCCUCGUAUCCAACGGCUCAGAUUCCUACACAGCUCUUGCUUAUCAUUGCCCCCUUUCUCACUUCACUGUCUCCCCCUCCCCCUCCCCCUCUCUCCUCUCACAUUUGUUAAAAAAAAAAUGUUUGUAUCCAUAUUUUUGAUCAUCUAAGCUUCCGAUCCUCGUCUCACUCAGUACAAAAAUCCACUCUUUAACUUUACGGAAAGAACAAUCUUUUCACUUUCAGUGCAAUUUUAAGAAUGGGUUCGUAGUUUUUGAUCGAGAAAAUCGCUUUAUCUAAAGUUUUGUAGCAAUCCAUCUGUUUUUAGCAGUUUUAAGCUAAACCCUAUCUGAAAGUCUCAAUCUUUGUUCAGUUUUCAGUGGUUUUUGUUUGAUUUGGUUGAUGAUUUUUGGUUGUUGAUUGUAUGAAAUGGUCACCGAUGCUUAUUCAAAGAUGAUGUCUGAAAUGUCAAUGCGAUCGAUGUCAAAGAGUGGCGAUUACAGCGAAGAUUUGAGUACGUUGAUUCGUGAACAGAGGCGGCAGCAUGAAGCAAGUGAGCGGGAGAAGGAGCUGAACAUAUACAGGAGUGGGUCAGCGCCGCCCACCGUGGAAGGCUCGUUGAAUGCUGUCGGAGGCUUGUUUGAGGCGUCUGCACUGUCGGGUUUCACGAAAAACGGCACUAAAGGGUUUGCGACCGAAGAGGAGCUUCUCGCUGAUCCAGCUUAUGUGAAUUACUACUAUUCCAAUGUUAAUCUCAAUCCACGGCUUCCGCCGCCGCUGCUUUCGAAGGAGGACUGGCGUUUUUCCCAGCGGUUGCAAGGCGGAGGUGGGGGUUCGGCAGUUGGAGAUAGGAGGAUAGGGGGUAGGAGUGGCGGUGAAGGGUCACUUUUUUCUGUGCAGCCGGGGAUUGGAGGGAAGGAGGAGAAUGGUGUGCAGGCGAGGAAGGGUGCGGCAGAGUGGGGCGGUGAUGGGUUGAUUGGGUUGCCAGGGUUGGGACUUGGGAGUAGGCAGAAGAGUAUUGCAGAGAUUAUUCAGGUGAAGUGUUAGUAAAGUUUGUUUUUUGAAUUGGUUUAUAUGAUAGCUUGUUAUCUUGAAUAUACAAUGUUUGUUUGCGUUUGGAAGUAUUUUAAGUUUUCAUGUGAUAAGCUUAAGCUUACUGGAGUAUUAUGUGAUUUGAUUUCUUCUCAAUUUUGUGUUUUACAAAGGUUUAAUCGUUAUGUUUCUUCGUUGAUUUCUCGCUUAUAUUUUGUGUUUAUCAUUAUAUGAUUUACUCGAUAUCUAGCUCAGCUCCUCUAAGUAGGGUGCGCCUUUCGAUUAUCCUAAUGAAGUGGAACAAGUCAAUGUUUAGUGCCCUUGACAGUGGUUUCUCUGAAUUGUUAGCUGAUGAGACUAAUUCCAUGAAAUGGAGGUGUUUGCUGGGAUGAGAAAUUGAACUAGUUCUCCUGACACUGGUUCAGUUAUUUCUUUAUUUUUUAUUAUAAUUUUUUUUAAUUUUUUUUUUUUAUAAUUAUCAACUUAUCUGCUGUAGACACUAGACACUGAUAUUGAAAAGUGGAAUUUGUUUUUCAGUAAUUCUUUUAUCUUGCUUAUUAACUAUAAUUUUAACUCUUUGCAUAAAUGUUGCACCAGUAAAAUGUAAAGUUAAUUCGAAUGGAAACUGUUUCUGCGUAAGGUAUUUGGAUGUAUUUUCUUGGUUCAUUGGCAGAUUUGCUCCUGUGGUCUUUUUGUUGUAUGCUUGUUUUUCCUGGUUAAAUUUCAUUGCCCGCGACAACUUUCGCAUAAUAAAAUUUGAAUUUGUUUAUCAGAUAUGCUGUCUAAAACUCUUGAUAUUUCAAUGCAGGAUGAUAUACAUAAUACAAAUGUCUCAAGGCACCCUUCUCGUCCUGCUAGCCGGAAUGCGUUUGAUGAUGGUGUUGAAGCUUCAGAUACCCAGUUUGCUCAUUUACAGGGAAUGUCAGCUGUUCAGAACGGCGGUUCAUCUAGUUCUCAUACAUAUGCUUCUGCUCUGGGUGCUUCAUUGUCGAGAAGCAACACACCAGACCCUCAGCUUGUAGCUAGGGCUCCUAGUCCUCGAAUUCCACCAGUUGGAAGGGUUUCCUCCAUGGAUAAAAAAAUUGGCAAUGGUCAAAACUCAUUCAAUGGUGCCUCACUUAAUGUGAAUGAGUCUGCAGAUCUGGCAGCUGCUUUAUCUGGUAUGAACCUGUCAACAAAUGGUAGGAUUGAUGAGGACAAUCGUGCACGCUCACAAAUGCAACAUGAAAUUGAUAAUCACCAUAACCUUUAUGACAUGCAAGGUGAUUGGAACCAUAUUAAACAAAAUUCGUACUUGAAUAAGUCUGAUUCUGGGAAUUUUCAUCUGCAUUCUGCUUCCCAAUCUUCUAACAAAUCUUAUCAGAAUAUGGGAAGAGGCAGUGGAUUUGGUAGGGAUCUGAACAGCCCUUCUUAUAUGUCUGACAAUCUAGUUGAUAUUAAUAAUCCUGCUGUAUCUUCUGGUAACUCAUACUUAAGAGGACCUGUGCCAGCUCUUAAUGGCCGAGGAAGCUCACACUCCCACUAUCAGAAUGUAGAAAAUACCUCAUUUCCGAACUAUGGCUAUUCUGGUAGUCCUUCAUCUCCAUCAAUGAUGGGUAGUCCACUUGGUAAUGGUAGUUUACCACCCUUAUUUGAAAAUGCUGCUGCUGCGUCUGCAAUGGGUGGGUUGGACUCUGGAGCUUUUGGAGGGAUGUCUCUAGGACCAAAUCUGUUGGCUGCAGCUGCUGAAUUGCAGAAUAUUAGGGUUGGAAAUCAUGGUGGUGGGAGUGCUCUUCAGGUUCCCAUGAUGGACCCAUUGUAUGUUCAGUACUUGAGAUCAAAUGAAUAUGCAGCUGCACAGCUUGCAGCCCUUAAUGAUCCCACAAAAGAUAGGGAAGGCAUGGGUAAUACGUACAUGGAUUUACUUGGUUUGCAAAAAGCUUAUUUGGGGCAGUUGCUUUCGCCCCAAAAAUCACAAUUUGGUGCUCCCUACAUUGGCAAGUCUGGUAGCUUGAAUCAUGGUUAUUAUGGAAAUCCAGCAUAUGGGCAUGGGAUGUCUUAUUCUGGAACACCAUUGGGUGGUCCCCUUCUUCCAAACUCUCCUGUUGGACCUGGUAGUCCUGCCAGGCAUGGUGAGCGGAACUUGCGUUUUUCUUCUGGGUUGAGGAACAUGGGUGGAAGUCUGAUGGGAGCUUGGCACUCCGAAAAUGGUGGAAAUUUGGAUGAAAGUUUUGCCUCCUCUUUACUAGAUGAGUUCAAAAGCAAUAAGACUAAAUGUUUUGAACUUUCAGAGAUUGCAGGGCAUGUUGUUGAGUUCAGGUAAAUAUUUGUCGCUGUUUCUUUAAAUCUUUGUGCCCUUAUGUGUUCCAGAUAUCCACAACUUAAUUCACUCAUAUAAUACCUUGAACAGUGCCGACCAGUAUGGAAGUCGGUUUAUUCAACAAAAACUUGAAACUGCCACAAUUGAAGAGAAGAACAUGGUUUUUGAUGAAAUUAUGCCCCAAGCACCAUCUCUUAUGACCGAUGUGUUUGGUAAUUAUGUGAUUCAGAAGGUACCUUUUCCCCUUUAGAUUGAUUUGCCUUUAUGUGCAAUUUUAUGUGUCCUCGUGCCUAGCAUGUUCAUGAUAUGCAGUAGUUAAGUGGCAGAAAUUAAAUGUUGCAGUUUUUCUUCUAUGUCUGACUUUUGCACUUUGGUUCAGUUUUUUGAGCAUGGAACUCCAGCACAAAUAAGAGAACUUGCAGACCAGCUCACUGGGCAUGUGCUGACCCUUAGCCUUCAAAUGUAUGGCUGUCGAGUGAUCCAGAAGGUAUGUACAGUUAGCUGACUGAACACAGUAAUUAACUUUCCAUAAUGAUAUUCCUUGCAUGUUUUACCAUUGGCUUUCAUACGAACUCAGAAGGAUUACCUUCUACAUAUUGUAUGUGUUGCAGGAGACAGGAUACGUAUCUAAUAGAAAUUAUUUGUCUAUAAAUUUCAGGCUAUAGAAGUUGUUGAGCUGGACCAGCAGACUAAAAUGGUAGCUGAACUGGAUGGUCAUGUUAUGCGUUGUGUUCGUGAUCAAAAUGGCAACCAUGUUGUCCAGAAGUGUAUUGAAUGUGUACCUGAAGAUGCCAUCCAGUUUGUUGUUUCAACUUUUUAUGACCAAGUCGUGACACUGUCUACUCAUCCAUAUGGUUGUCGUGUCAUACAGGUUAAGAACCUCUCCAUUUUCUGACUCGCAUUCAUUUUGCAUCUGCCUAUUAAUCAUAUAUGUUGAAGAUAAAUGGUUAUGAAUGCAACCAAAUGGUAUAGUAACUUUGAUUUAACAGAGAGUUUUGGAGCACUGCCGUGACCCCAAAACGCAGCAAAUAAUGAUGGAUGAGAUUUUGCAGUCUGUUUGCAUUUUGGCACAAGACCAAUAUGGAAAUUAUGUUGUCCAGGUUUGUUUCAUUUCUAAGAAACUUUUGUCACUCUACCUUCUCAUUAUUAAAGGAAAUAAUUCCACAGUGGUUUAAUGGAAUCUGUUGUUUAAGUAUCAAAUGGACCUCUUAACUUAAUCAACUAAUUUUCUUUGUUGGAUGUUAUUUUGGUUCUUCUUUUAUACAGUAUAGAUGUUCAAUUUUGAUUUUUCUCUGCACAUCCUAGUCUCAUCUUAACCUCAAUUUUGUUGGCUCUUCAUGCAUUUGUGACUUCACUUAAACCGGUUAAUCAACUUCUGGUAUCAUGCUUAUAAUGGGACUAUUAGCUGUCCAUUAUGUUGAUCAUAUGGGUGUGAUUCAUGCCUUUUCAUCAGUCACACUUCAAUUUACCCUGAAUUUGGAGUGUAACGGGGUUCUUGAUGUUAGUGUCAAAUAUAGCUCUCUGUUUUAAAUUGCUUAUGCAUUUAGUUGGUUGUUCAAAAAUUGGUGGGGUUACAACGGUUGCUACUAAUGUUACAUUGUCAGUUAUUUAGUCUCACAACAAUAUGUAUCUUCAGUUUUCCCUGUUGUAUAUACAUGAUCUCAUUUAGAUGGAGGGAUUGGAUAGAAUUGAGGAAUAAGAUGAUUUCAGCUCCGCUCCACCCCUCCGCCACCAAUUUAAUGUUUUCAUACUUAUUUUCUUUGAGCUCUGUUUAUACACCUUACUUGGCUUAUUGAAUGAGUUUAUGCACCCAUACCUGAUUGUUUCCUGAUGUAAUUUAUUAACUGAAUACGGUUUUGUUUGCACUUACAAUAAGUCGAAAGAUAAAUAUUAUAUUUUGUGAUGAUCUGUGGAAGUAUAGUAUGGUAGACACUGUUGUUGAUUGAACGUAUUCACGUCAUAGAACUGUUACUCGGAGAGUUACCUCCCUGCCUCUGGUUUUGCACCAGAGCCAUUGUGUCAGGUUGAUGACAUACAAUUUUUUAAGAAGAAUUGAGUACCUCUUUUAUACCUUUGGUCCUUUGUGCUUUGUAAACUUUACUUUCUUUACAUUUCAGAAUAGGCUUGCAAAAGCUAACUCAGAAACCGUAAAAACAAAUAAAUGUCCCAUAAGCUGAUAGCCUGAUGUUUACUGCAAAGACGUGCCUGUAAUAACUAGAUUCAUGAACCUUCUUUUCAUGGAACCCGCAAAGGAGUUGUGGAUACUUUAAAUUGUGGUUUAAUUUGGAAACAACAAUACGUAGCCUUUGCUGUAUGUAGUAAACUAUAUAUUUUAUUCUUUGUUUACAUUAAACUCAGUCAACUGAUUGUAUUUAUUUUUACAGCAUGUGCUGGAACAUGGAAAGCCACAUGAACGGUCAUGUAUAAUUAAGGAACUAACUGGGCAAAUCGUUCAAAUGAGCCAGCAGAAGUUUGCGUCAAAUGUCAUAGAAAAGUGUUUAAGUUUUGGAACUCUUGCUGAACGCCAGGCCCUUGUAACUGAGAUGCUUGGUACCACUGACGAAAAUGAGCCCCUUCAGGUUUGCUACUUACUAUGAAGUUUUUGGUGUGCACUGUUGGUGAAUGUAUUCUUUUGUUAUAGCAUAAUUUUCUUUCUUUAAUUCUUUUCUUGUCUCAAUGUGCCAUCUUCAACUAUAUUUUACUCUGGUCAAGUUUGCAUAGAUGGGUUCCUGAACUAAGUGCGAACCUUUUCAAAUUGCUGAAAAGAGUUGACGUCUCUAACUUUUGGGGAUUUUAUGAAAAUAAUCUUUACAGUUUGAAGUAACUUUUCUAUAACAUCCGAAGCUCUUAUGAUUACUUUUAUUAUGAUUAUGCUGUUACCUGAAACGAUGGUUUCUUAGGUUGAACUCGUGAAUUCAUUUGAAUACUAGUGAACUCAUUGGGUUUACUUUCACUUAUUAUCUUUGACAUGUAAAAGCUAACUUUUACCUUAACAUUCUCAAUGACAGUUUGCCUCACCUUUGCAAAUUAAUUGCUUUUUGAUGCAUCUAGCUGUUUUGACAAAAUCGCGCUAAAGCUAGGGUGUCACCUGUAGGUGGCGCGUUGUGUGGCCCGAGCACAGUGAUAAGUGAGCAAGGGUCGCUGUAUCUCUAGCUGACCCCACUUAGUGGGAAAAGGCUUUGUUGUUGUUUUUGCUGUUUUGAUAAAGUAUUUGAAUCGUGUCCUUAGUAUAUAAUAUUCAACAAUGUGCUAGUACGACUAUUCAAAGCUUGAAUUUAUUAAUGCAUAUAUCAUUUUCAUUUUUGAUUAACAUUGACUAGACGAACACAAACUUUUUAAAUUGUGAAAGAUUUUUGUUUUGUCAGUAUCAAAUUUUCCAAAUACUAUGGCUCUAGGAAAAUGAUUUGCCAGGCAUUGGUUUUUAAGACGGGUAUAUGCAUAGACUAGGGUCUUUUAAUAUUCCUUCUUAUUCUUGUUCUGUUUGAAUUUAGGCGAUGAUGAAGGAUCAGUUCGCAAACUAUGUUGUACAGAAAGUGUUGGAAACUUGUGACGAUCAGCAACUUGAACUAAUCCUUAACCGAAUUAAGGUUCACCUGAAUGCCCUGAAGAAGUAUACUUAUGGGAAGCAUAUAGUUGCCCGUGUAGAGAAACUUGUUGCUGCUGGGGGUACUUUUUCGCUCUUUCUCCUUUGUCAUUUCAUAUCAAUCUUACAUCUCAUAGUGAUGCUUGAACACAUGAUACACAAAUGUAGUUCUGAUUCAUCGUUUGGGUUUUCUUGCAAUGCAAGAAGUUGGUUGUCAUUUCCAAAAUGAAUAAUAUGAUUUUCUAGCCUAAUAUGUAUUGUUAUUCCGGCUUCAAGCUUUGGACUUGCUACUGGUGUAAAAAACCUGGUUGCCUCAAAUCGCUAACAAGGUGCUGAAUCUUUUGCAGAGAGGAGGAUUAGCAUUCUGGCUCCCCAGGCUUCUGCUGCUUAGAUGGGGUACGGGGACGAAGUUGUACAGCUAACUGAGGAUAAUAUGAGCCCCUCUGUUUCUUUCAUGUCAAGUAAAGGCUCUGUCUAUGUAUUGAGAUGGAUAAGGCGCGAUUAAAAUAAAGAUCGUUGGUUGUACUUAAAACUGUACAUUUUUAGUUUGAGGAUAUACCUUAGAGUAGUCACGGCGCAGACGGUGAACACACCUGAGGCCCCUGCAGAGGAGAUAAAUUUAGUGUACAAGUUUUAAGGGUGUAAAAAGCGAGGCAGUAGUAGAAUUUGUGGUCGUGACUGUACAAAUGUUUUACCAGGUGGAGUCCUCCAUAAAUUUUUUUAACGUACGGAUUAUUUUCUAAUUAAGGAACCUUUUUUCCGGACAAUUUGCGAGUUGAGAUUCUAUCCAGAUUCAUUAUGUCAUGCUGUUACGAAAUUUCAAAUUUUACCUUUCGCUGUUUCUUUCGACGUUUCGAGCACAUGAUGAAGCUCAAAUUGGUGACUGGUAGUCGUCGUGCUUGUUGAACGGCACCAUGAAUGUUUUUGAGCUUCACAUCUGUCCUCCCGAAGACUUUUAACCGAGGCUUUAUAUGUUCAGGGAACUGAUUUCCGCAUUCCGGUCUUCUCCUUAUGCGUUCUUCUUCGCUUCGGUUGAUUGAUUCUUCUUUGAUGUAUUCAAUCGACGGUUGGAAUACAGAGGAGUGUAUGGCGAGAAAAAGAAUUGCAGAAAUAUUUCAUGUGUUUAUUUAUCGAGAAUGGCAUAUCAAGAAAGAACGAGCAUCUGUUCCAUAGCCGCAAUAGAUUCUAGUUACCCAAAUGAUAUGACUGAAACCAUAAUACCAAAGAAGCAAAGUAAUACAUAGCACUGACAAUUAGUGCCAAAUUGCCAACAAUACAAGAAAAACCCACCAAACGUACCCAGAAUUUUGCCCUAGAGUUUGGUCUGCUCAAAUCAACUAUAUUUAGGAGGGCAAAACGUUAUGACAUACCUAGGAGCCGUACAAAUCUUAAGCCCUGUACAAUCAUCAAAGGCAUAACUACAAGCUCCAGCACAAUACCGGUAGGCUUGCAACUCUCUGGAUCUGCAAACUCCCCUCUGCAGCAAUACCGGUCUGAUUUCCGGCGAAGCAAGCGCUCUUGCACCCUACCUUGUUUCUUGACCACCAAGGCAAGUGGCAGCAAACGUUCAAGUCAGCCUCACAGGCAGCAACUCCACACCCACUACCACCUAUUGGCCUCAUUGAAGCUGGCACGUUGAAUCCGUCAAUCAAACUCACAUCACAGUAAUGCAAGGCUGAGUUCGAGGUUCCGAGCGUCAUUUCAAAGGGUGUGGCAGGGGGGACUCUGCCGAGUCCCCAGCAUUGUAAGAGGCCGGCGCAAUCAUCCGUUUGGCAUGUGCCUUUGCCAGUUUUUUCAUCAAAGCAGCAGCCUUGCCUCCCCUAUAGCCUGCCCGACCAGUUUUCGGGGACGUUAAGGACUUGUUGCUCGCCGCUGGAGGGCUGGAAGCCGCGUCUCGAGGAGUUUGGUGGCCUGCUUGCCGAGGAUUCCGGGUCAUAUACUCUCCUUGCAGUUGUUCACUACGAUGAGUUGAGUCCCAUCUGCAAACAACAAUGCUAUUUGUCAACCAAAGUUUUAUAGAAACCAACAAAUAAGGAAUGUUCAGCGUUCGAUUCUCUCCGAUGUAACAAAAAAAUUUCGAGUAAAAAAGGAGAGAGUAUUUGAUUGCCUGUGAAGGAGAGGGAAAUGAGAAAGGAGAGAAGGAAGAAGAUUUGACGUGAGAUUGGCAUUUGUUCAUGAGUAAUGGAGAUGUGAGUUGGUAACUGGGAGGCUCUUCUAUUUACAUAGUGUGGAAAAGUGAAAAGGGGUUUUCCUUCGUUCUCGCCAUCAUGGAAAGGAGUGGUAGCCUUAAGAACAACUGCACAUGUAAUGGCGGUUUGCAAAUUGCAUAGGUUAGACCAGUUGGUCAGGACAUUGCGUCCGUAAUUUUUCACUUAAAUUAAAGCAGUUUAGUUUUAUUCAUGUGGAUUGGAUCUAUGAGCCUCUCAUGAAGCUUGUCUAUAGAAAAAGAUGAUUGCUUAAGUGAAAAAGGUGAAGAGAAUUUGACAGCACAAGAAAGCACACUUGAAACCAGUAUAGAUUACUCUAGGGUUUGGUUGAGAUGAUUUUUGGGAAAAUGUAUAUGAAUAUGUCCCAGGAAGGUUUUUGAGAAAAAAUUAAAUGAAACGAGUGCAUUCAUUUUCGAUAGUGACUUUUUACAGUCAAAAGUUUUGCUUUCUGCUUUCUUUGUUUUUAUUCAUUAAUUCUUUGAUCUAUUUAAUUCUAAAAUUGCAAAAAAAAUAAAAGAUUACAUAAUAAAAAACGUGAGUGAAAAAUCAUUUUCUUUUUUGUCACAUGUGGCAAGUACAUGGUAUGAAACAGAUAAGACCUUGUAACUAGACGAGCUUCGGCAUUUUACUUUCUUAAAAUGUGAAAAUCAUGAAUUGAAAAGCGAAAUAAGAGAAUUGAUAAGAGAUCAACAAAUUAAUUUGAAGAAUGAGAUUAUUAAUAAUAAUGUGGAAUCCACUAUUUUUUUUUUAUUUCAUACGUGUUCCUAAAUACUUAGGAAGUUAUUAACUGAAAUAAUUUCAAUACCCGUGUUUUAAUAAAUGCAAAGCAGUUCAUAUCAAAAUAAUUCCGAAACUCUUAACGUAAACUAGCAUUUCUGCACGCGCUCAUGCGCUUGCGAAAGACAUUUUUUUAAUCACGGUGCACUACGCGCAACUUACACAUUUUAGAUGUAUUUAUAUGCGAGGAUUGGUUCAAUGUAUAGAAACAUAAAAUAAAGGCGAUUAUCAUCUCUAAUAAUACAGGCGAAUUUAAAGUAUUUUAUCUAGAAUAUGUAAAAAAAAAAAGUAAUAAAAUUGAGAAAGACAAUACUCUUUUAAUAAUUAGUACACAAAUAAUCAUACAUCAUAUGAAUUUUACACACGAAUUCAUUAAUAAUUAAGCAGGGCAUUGAAUAGAAAUUUCAUAAUGGAGUACACCUUCACUAAUCUGUCAUCCUUUUCGAUCAAGAAAUUUUUCAGAACUUCCACUUUGUAGUCCCAAUCCUUAUUGACAAAUCUGCAAAGAAUAAAGAAAACGAAAGGAGUGCAAAAUCAAUAUUGGAUUUGGGGAUUUUCCCUAGCUCUCUAAAUGCCCUCUAUCUUUUAACAACACACAAUAGUCAUGAAACAUGAAGACAUCAAUACCCGCUUGAACCGGCGAGGCAGCUCGAAUUUCAGAGCGAAUGACACCUUCAGAAACUUUAAUAACCUGUAAUCCUUUUCAACAAAGAAAUUUUUCAGAGCUUCCACUUUGUAGUCCUAAUCCUUAUUUACAAAUCUGCAAAGAACAAAGAAAAUGGGUAAAAAUGCAUGCUUUGAUCUCCUGAUUCAAUUGAAAAUGCAUGCUUUGAUCUGUAUAUAGUUGUUGACCCUAAAAACUACCAAGCCUACGUGGCACGCAGACCGAGUAACUAAUGAGCUAACUACGUCAUUCGGUUAUGUGUGGGGCGUGCCAACUCGAUGGUCGAGCUCGGCUGGUGAGUAAAAUGAGUUGAUGUUGCGUUGAGCGUGUUGCUAACUUCUUGAUCUUGCGACUGCGGCUGAGGAAGGAAUACGUCUAGGCCUUUGGGUUCUAGAGCCUGAAGACAAGGCUGCUAGUUCUACGAAGUUCAAUAUCAAAUUCGACUUUCAAUGUGCCGAAUGUAGUCACUUGUAACACCUCACUUCGUCGAGAAGGUUAAUGAGAUGACCUCUGCCAAUAAGAAUUCAAAAAUCUUUCUCGAUCGAGACUUGGAUAGAUAACCAGUCGGCCUCGACGCAGUGCUGUUUAUCUGAAGGUGCUUCGUGGUCGGCUGAUUCUACGGCAACAAUGCUGUUUAUCCAAACUGAAGAUGUUCGCCGGUUGCCUUCACAGUGCUAUUUAUCCAAACUGAAGAUGUGUCGGCGAAAAAGAAAUUAAAAAUCUUAAGGUUGUUAAGAGGUUUCACGUAGAGCGAGAAUUUAUGCAGGGCAGUUUGUGUGUUGAAUUUGAGGGGCUUUUCCCGCUGCCACUGCGUCUGUAUUUAUAAGGUUGGUGUACUUGCUUGGCACGACUAGAUAAUUUUGUAGUCCAACUGCAACUAUAUUUCUCGGAACCGAAAUUAAUCAACGUCAGAGACUAAGGCAUAUCUUUCAGAUAGAUGUUCGUGAUUUUCCAAACCUCAUAAAAGCCUAUCAAAAUAAAAGUCUUCUUAUCAUCAUAGCCUAGCCUAGCUAGACUCGUCAUCAUUAUCCAAGACCAUUAUUUUCAUUAUCCUUACAUCCCAUGCAUACAUAAAAAACAAAAUAUCAUGGUUGGUAGUUUUGCAUUAUCUGCAAAACCAUCCUGUUACCAUCACAUCACCUUAUUUUGAUUACUCCAAUCUGGCAUCCUCAUCUUGCACUAAUAUAUAUGCCAAUCUAUAUCCAUUUGCCAACACUGCAGUAACGUAUUAGGACUCUUAAUAAAAUACUCUGAUGCUCUAAUCCUCCGCACGUCUGAAUCCCAAAUUAAAUUGAAUUGUAUUGCUCGCUUUCAAGUUGGAGAUAUAAUUCACAUCUCAUCUUGUACAAGAAAAUAUUAAGAUAUUUCACCAUUAAAAGAUAAUAUCAUGAUUAAAGUCACAAUAUAUUCUUCAAUAAUAAUUAUCUUAACCAUUCCGUCAUCCAACGUUUGAGAUUUAUGUUAAUCAACGGCUUUGAUCGCACAAACCGAUAGUGUAAAAUCAGGUCCAAACAAUAGUAAAUGCACAUAUACCUCCUAGGCUCAUACCACCAAUAAUGAUGCAAUUAAGUAAUUUGAUUUAAGGUUGCCAAAGUGUAUUCAACCAAUUUGACUGUACCUUAAACCCAUACAUCAUAUAUCAAAAAUGUCAAUAGAAGGUUGUUACCUUGAGGAAGAAAAGCUAAUUAGAUUUUAUAAGACAUAUAUGAGUGCACUGCAAUAUCAACCACAUUGAUUUUUGUUUGUUUAAUGAAAUGAAAAAAAAGCAUUAGGAUUAAAGUCCAAACUCAGUACGAAACUCACCAACUGACCUUCUGAAUAUGAAAUGUAGGCUAACUGUACAAAUUUCCAAUUAUGCCCUUGUGCUUGUUGACUUCAGAAGGGGAUGAUAAUCCACACACAAUGUGAAACGGUUGAAAUUAAUGAAAAAUAUUGAUUACCAAAAUAUUUAAAAAAAAAUUAAAUUACCAAAUUUUCUUACCCUAUGUGAAUCGCAUGCACUCAGCAUAAAGCAAACAAUCACAGAGCGCAAGAAAUUUUUCAUUUUCUUCUACUUUGUAGUCCCAAUCCUUAUUCCGCCGCAUAUUUUUCCCUAUUUCAGACGAACUCCAAGAUCUACAUCACACAAACCAAAUAAAAACUCUUUCUUUACUAAAACCCUUUACCAAAAACCGAUCAAAGUUUGUAAAUUUAAACAAAAGAUCAAGUUUUGGAGCAAAAAGCACACCUACCUGUAUGGCCAUGAAAGCUGCAGUCAAGGUGAUCGAGCCUUAACCUGCGCGCAAGAGACAAAAGUUUUGCAGAAAAGUUUCUCAGCACUAUGAUAUAUAGACUAAUAAAAAAGAGUACUUUCUAUUAAACUCCAAACAAAAUUUAGAAAACCCCAUUUUUAUUUCUCCCCUUCCGGUUAAGCAAUCAAUAUAUACUGUUUGGAUUUCCCUUUCUGCGAAACUGUUUCCUUAGACGUUCGGGUUUUUUCCUCCUCCGUUUACACGUCUGCACCGCGUGUCAUAUCACAUUUGUUCGAUCAUGUGAGGAAGAAGUUUGAUCAGAAAAUGGGGUUGUGGAAGACAGACGUGGGUGGGGUUGGUUUCCCUGUAAUUUUUUAAGUUUGUAAUUCUCUUAUUUAUUAGGUUGUAUUCUGAUUACUUGCUGACAAAAAUACCUUUGUGGAUUAUGAAUCCAUUUUUCACAGUAAUUUUAAUUUUUUUUUUUGAGGGGCUUUAUAGUCCAAUAUUUUUUUGGUGAAGUCUUGAGACACUAAACUCUCGUUCUGCCAUUCUAAUAUUAAAGAUUAAAGAUAAACAUGCCUUAAUUCUGUUAGUUUAACUACCACGAAUCGCCGGUUCACUCAUUUUCCGGGCAGCGGCCGACUCGAGUUUCAAGUAGAAUCACGGCUCGUCAGCCAGACAACCGGAAGGUUCGGUUUCUCGUUAUCUAAAACCGCUUCAACUAACCCUGAGCGGGCCACUCGGUUAAAAAAAAACCAAAAACUAAAUAAUGGACAAAAUAACCGGUUGAGCCCAACCCUAACCGGUCCAUCCGGUCGCGUCGCCCACGGUUUUAUAAUCUCCUUCUAACCGCCCUAACUCGGUUCUGUUUCCCUUCCUCUCUGUUUAUCAGAAAGCAUUCAAACCAGAAACAUGUAAGCUCUCUCUGUCUCUCUCACUCUUAAUUUUAAUUCAAUUAAUUAAAUUUAGUGUAUUAUUUGAACCAUUUGGAUGCUGGGUUUGCUGGGUUUCUGUUAAUUACUUGGUUUAAUUCGAAUUAAAGAAGAGAGUCCAUGUCUUUGUUGUAAUGGGGUUUGGCCUUUUUGCAUAAACUAGUUAAUUCUCUGAGGUUUUGUCCAUGGCUUCUGGUCUGGUAAUGGAGCCCGUGCCGAUAACGUCACAAAAGCACGACCCGGCAUGGAAACACUGUCAAAUGUUUAAGAUUGGGGAGAGGGUUCAGCUGAAGUGCAUAUAUUGUAACAAAUUGUUUAAGGGUGGUGGGAUUCAUAGGAUUAAGGAACACCUUGCCGGUCAGAAGGGUAAUGCGUCGACUUGUCUGAGAGUUCCGCCGGAUGUUCGGGCUCAAAUGCAGCAGAGUCUAGAUGGGGUAGUGCUGAAGAAGAGGAAUAGGCAGAAGCUUGAUGAGGAGAUUACUAACAUUAAUCCCUCACCUCAUGGUGAGGCAGAGCCGAUUGCUGAUCAGAGUGAUGUGAGUAAUGGGGGUCAGUUGAUUGGAGUUCCCGAGGCGCUUGAGCACAAUUCGGGGUUGUUGGGGAACCAAGAAGGAAUGACAAGUGGGAGGAGUUUGGGGAGAAGGAAAAGGGGGAGAGGCAAAAGUUCUUUUGCAGGACAUAGUGCUCUUGUUGUUAGUAAUAGUGCUGCUUUAGGUUCUCCAAAGGUGAACAAUUUUGUUCACGAGGCAAUUGGAAGGUUUUUGUAUGAUAUUGGGGCGCCUCCAGAUGCAGUGAACUCUGCGUAUUUCCAACCGAUGAUUGAUGCAAUUGCUUCAGGUGGUUCAAGGGUUGUGCCUCCUACGUACCAUGAUAUUCGUAGUUGGAUAUUGAAGAAUUCAGUUGAAGAAGUGAGGAACAGUAUUGAUAAACAUAGGGAAACGUGGGGAAGAACGGGUUGUUCAGUCUUGGUCGAUCAGUGGAACACAGAGUCAGGUAACGUUUUGCUAAGUUUUUUGGUGUACUGUCCUGAAGGAACAGUUUUUUGGGAAUCUGUUGAUGCAUCAGACAUUAUAAAUUCCCCGGAUGCGCUUUACGAACUGCUUAGGAGAGUGGUAGAGGAAGUUGGAGUAAAAGAUGUGCUGCAAGUGAUUACUAGUAGUGAAGAGCAAUAUAUGGUUGCGGGGAGGAGGUUGACUGAUACUUUCCCUGCGCUAUAUUGGACUCCAUGUGCAGCUCGGUGCUUAGAUUUAAUACUCGAAGAUUUUGGUAAUAUUGAGUGGAUAAAUACGGUCAUUGAACAAGCAAGAUCCAUUACAAAGUUUGUGUACAAUCAUAGUGCAGUGUUGAAUAUGGUCAGAAGGUCUACUUUUGGCAAUGAUAUAGUAGAACCAGGCGCCACUCGCUUCGCUACAAACUUUACAACAUUAAAACGACUGGUUGAUCUAAAACACUGCGUACAGGUCAUGGUUACUUCGCAGGAGUGGAUGGACUCCCUAUAUUCAAAGGAACCGGGGGGACUGGAGAUGUUGGACCUUGUUAAUAAUCAGUCAUUUUGGUCCUCAUGCAUCUUGAUUGUUCAUCUGACAGAUCCUCUCUUGCGAGUUUUGAGAAUGGUUGGUAGUGAGAAGAGGCCUGCAAUGGGAUACGUGUAUGCUGGAAUGUAUUGGGCAAAAGAAACAAUUAAGAAAGAACUCAUUAAGAGGGAGGAGUACAUGGUAUACUGGAAUAUCAUAGAUCAACGAUGGGAACAGCUGUGGCAUUCUCCUCUUUAUUCUGCAGGCUUCUACCUUAACCCCAAAAUAUUUUACAGUAUCAAAGGAGAUAUACAUAGUGAUAUUGUCUCGGGUACUUUUGAUUGCAUCGAGCGAUUGGUUCCUGAUACAAAUGUCCAAGAUCAAAUCAUCAAAGAGCUAAAUUUGUACAAGAGUGCUGCUGGAGAUUUUCGAAGGAAGAUGGCAAUUAGGGCUAGAGACACUCUGCUUCCUGGUGAGGGACUAAUCUUUUUGAUUGUUUUGUUAUUUCUAACUUCGGUGUCAUGACUUAGCUAGCAAUGCCAUAAGUACUAGCACAUCCGAAUAAGCCAUUCGAUAUGCAUUCGUGCAUGCUAAGUCAGAUAAAUAUUGUUGUUCCAAUUCAAUUGGUAUUUAGUAAUUUAUAAGCAUUUUUAUGUAUUAGAUCAAAUCAAGCCUUUGAUUUUGUUUAAUCCCUGUAAAGAUGGAGGCCCUUUGAUCUUUUGGGUGUAUUUGAUGUAACUAUGACACCGAAAUUACCUUUCUAGGAACAGAAACUGAACUUUUUAUCGUUGUAUUCUGUUUUUUGUAUUUGAACCUCUUUCUCACACUUAGCUAAUUUUAUCCACAAUGUACUUCUCUUAGCUGAAUGGUGGUCAACAUAUGGAGGAGGUUGCCCAAAUUUGACACGCUUGGCAAUCCGAAUUCUCAGUCAAACUUGCAGUUCGAUUGGCUGCAGGCGAAAUGAGAAUCCUUUUGGGAAAGCACACAACACAAGGAACUGCCUUGAGCGUCAACGUAUCAGUGACCUCGUCUUUGUUCGUUAUAACUUGCGACUGAAACAAAUGUAAGCAUAAAGCAAUACUGUAUGGAAUUAGGAAUGGCUGUUUAAAUAUAAUGGGGAGAAAUUCCUUUCCCUUUGCUAAUAAUAAUUUUUGUUUUUGCGCAGGGUUGGUAAGAACAUCGGACAAGAUGUUAUGGAUCCCAUAUCAUUUGAAAACAUUAGCAUGACCGAAGACUGGGUUACCGGGAAGGACAUGUGCUUAGAUGACAAUGGGAGUUCCGACUGGAUGGAACUCGAUUCAAACUCUGUAAGCACAAUGCUUCUAGGGCCAUCAAAUGAUGAUGCCGAUGACUUGGGCUCUGGUAAUUUUAUACUCGGAUGUGGAUACAUGCUAAAACCAAAUUGAGCUUUGUUCUUAAUCGCAUUGUACACUGAUUAACCUUGGUCGAUAUAUGCAGGGUUUGACGAUUAUGAGAUCUUCAGUAGAGCAAAAGACGGUGAAGAGGAAAAUGUUGAAGACAGCGUAGAAAAUCGUUAGAGCCUUAUCCACGAGUCAGUUAUCGACAUCAAGGACCUGUGGUUACGAAUCAUCGCCUUGUUCUUUGCAACCGAGCAGAGGAAGAUGUAGGGAAGUAGAUGUCCACAAAGGUAGUUUUCAAUUUGGAGAGCAGUGCAUUGCAUUGUAGGUGAUAAUUAGAAGCAGAUAGUUUGUAGCAAUUAAAAUGUUGUUAGAAAGAUAUAAUUUUCCUUUUUAGUCCUCAUCCAGUGACUUGUUAUCACAGAUGAAAUGUAAAAGUAUUAGGAAAUAGAGUGAUGAAAUUGUUCACUCUAAUCUUGGGUAAAUAAAAAGAUUAGAGUAAAAUAUAGACUUGGUUCCUGAACUUGGAAAUUAGUUUAGAAUUCGUCCUCGAGUUUAAAAUUCGUUAAUUAGAGUUCUUGAAUGUAACAACGACUUGGAUUCUCUCUCUCCUCUCGUCCCUUUGGAAUCCCUUGCGGCAAGGGACGGAUCGCGGCUUUAACAGAAAGAGUUCGAUGGCUUAUUUCAACUUUGAAGCUCAUGUGCAUGUCACAUGUCGAUGGGGAUUUUUAGUUCGAUGACAAAUUCUAAUACUUAAGCUGGUUUUAUAUGUGCGGGUACCCCUUUCACAUGAGAAGAGAGGCAGCGAGAGGCGUAUACACCUGGGGACACAUAUGGCAUAAUAAAUACUGCAACAGUUUAAGUUUUUAUGUUCAUGAAUCUAAUUGUUUUGCUAAUAGGAUGAAUCUAAUUGUUUUGCUAAUAGGAUAAAUAAAUCCUAAUCAGAAUGGCUGUCCAACAUCAUGAUAUUGUCAAAAUUAUUUAGAUAUGUUCAGCGUUUGAUACACCAAUGCAUUAUAGAAUUAAAAAAAAAAAACGACGUCUUUUUGAACUUGAAAAUAUUGAAUAUUGCAGCUGCCUUAUGGUAUUUAGAGAAAAUGAUAAUAAAUCUUGUUUGAAUUAUAGAUAAAAUUUUAGCGAUGGUCCAUUAACUUUAAUCAAAUUGGAGCAAUAAUCCUUCAACUAAAAAUUCAUGACCAUUAGUUCUUAACUCAUCAAAAUGUGCAGCUAUGAUCAUUUUCGUCAACUCUGUUAAAAAUUCUGUCAAUAUGAGUCACUUGCCAAGCACGCGAGACUGAAUCAAGGGGCAAAAUGAGAAACUAAAUAAAAAUACUGUACAAAAUGGUACCUCAACUUAACCCAAUUGGAGAAAUGAUUCUUCCAACAUUACUCAUUUUGAUGGAAGUUCCGACGGAGUUGACGAAAAAGAACAUAACUGAACGCUUUGAGAAGUUAAAGGAACCAAGGUAUAAAAUAUCGAUGAUAUCGGAAACAUCGGUAGUCCAAAAACACGAAAAUUUCGAUGGAAAUAUGGGGAUAUUAUCGAUAUUGAUAAAAAUUGAAUAAAAAUCACGGAAAUUGUAAGAAAAACUUGGAAAUUUUUAUUGAAACUUUGCAGGAUGUUUAUUUAGUCAAUUAUCUAUUAGUUUAUCACAAAAAAUUAGAAGGAAAUGCAUUGCAUGAUAGAUAUAACUGAUUUAAGUUGAUUAUAUAGCGAGCUGGCAAACAUUGUGAGUGUAGAAAAUAUAGUAAUUAAUGAAAGAAAUUUAAACACACCAUAAUCAUUUAUAUAUAAUGAAUUAGUACAAUAUUUUACACUUUAUACAUUGCAUGGUAAGAUACAUGAGUGACUUAGCAAUGUCUAAAAUAUCGAUGAUAUCUAUCGGUAGUCCAAAGAAAUAUCAGUAUUCCAAAAACACGGAAAUUUUGAUGGAAAUAUCGGGAUAUUAUGGAUAUUUUAGACCAUGAAAGGAACUAAUAGUCAUGAAUUUUUAGUUAAUGGAUCAUUGCUUCAAUUAAGUUAAGUUAAAGUUGAAGGACUAUAAAUUAAAAUAUCAUUGCAAAGAUUUUAAUUAAAAAAAAAUAGAACUUUACCGCCCUUCAUUAUUCACAUUACAAUCCUACUUUACGCUACAAUAACCCACUCAGUCAAUUUCGGUGGCCUACGAUGAGAAAGAAACCAGUUUACUUUUCACUCAUAACGCGACGCGCCUCCCCACUCGUAUAAAUGCCUAUUGCCUUGUCCCAAUUGUGACAUCGGUGCAACAACAAUGAACGAGCCCCUCUCUUUCUCUGUAACUUCAAACCCUUCUCCGUCUUAAAACUCACUCAGAACCUCCGCCAACUACGCCGAUUACUUCCUUCUUAUCACAUUUGCUGCGCCUGUUUGAGUAUCACAUUUGAUGAACUCUCGACACCUGACAACAAGGCGGGUCUUCAGGUUACUUGCAAGAAACUAUAAUCCAAAAAAUGAUGGUCCAAGGAUCCCUUUCCUUAUUAAUUACAAGAAGCAGCAGAUGGUUUGUAGCAAUUUAAAUCUUGUUAGAAAGAUUGAAAUGUUCCCGUCCGGUCACCUGGUUUUAACAGAUGAUGAAAUGUAAAAGUAUUCAGAAAUAAAAAGAUGAAUUUGUAUACUUUUAUCUUGGGUAAAUAUUUAAUUAGUAUUAGACUGGUUUUAUAUGUUCUAUUUUUUCAUGAAAUUAAGUGUGCAAGCUCUACUCAUAUUCUUUUAUGUUCUUGUUUGGACCUAAAAUUACAUCAUCGGUUCGUGCAAUCAAGGCCGUUAAGUAGGCAUAGCUCCCAACCGUUGGAUCGAAGAGUGAAAAAUAUUUUUUUUUAUUAUUGAAAGAUAAUAUUAUGAUUUUUAUCAUCAUAAUUAUCUUUUAAUAAUGAUUUUUUUUUUCUUAUACAACGGGAUAAAUAGGAUUCUCAUUAUCUCCGGUGAAAGCAACAAGCAAAGUUCGAAUUAACUUAGGUUUGCUGGCAGUGGACAUGUAGAUUGAUAGGAGAUCAUCAAGUGGGAUUUGACAUCCCCUAAAGAAAAAUAAGGUCCUGGAUAACGAAGACAUUGGAAACCUAGGUAGGCUAGGCUUUUUGUUUUGCAUGGUGAUGGAUGUUGUCAGAUGGGUUUGAAAUGAUAAGGGUACUUUGAAAUUUCAAAGUCCUCUUGUGAAAGUUUCUGGGCGCAGGGAGACUAGCGGGAUUUUUGUCGAAAUAUGUCAAAGAUAAUAUCAGUUAUUUUGAUAUUGUUUGUUGGGAUAUAUUCGGAAAAGGCUUCUAUUUGGAUUGGCGAUCAAGGAGACUCGGCUAUAAAUACAAAGCUUUCUCACAAAUCAAAGCCCCCUCCAAUUCAACACACAAAUUGCCCUGCGUAAACCCUCGCUCUACACGAAACCUCUUAACAACCUUGAGAUUUUUAUUUUCUUUUUCCGCCAACACAUCUUCAGUUUGGAUAAACAGUACUGUGAAGGUAAUUGGCAAACAACUUCAGUUUGGAUAAACAGCACUGUUGUCGUAUAAUCAGUCGACCGCGAAGCAUCUUUAGUUUGGAUAAACAGCACUGUGACGAGGUCGACUGGUUAUUUAACCAAGUCUCAGUUGAGAAGGAUUUUCGAAUCCUUAUUGGCAGAGAUCAUCUCAUUAGCCUUCUCGGAGAAGUGAGGUGUUACCAGGUUACUACAUUCGGCACCCUGAAAGUCGAAUUUGAUAUUGAACUUCACAAAACUAGCAACCUUGUCUUCAGGCUCUAGAACCCGAAGGCCGAAAAGUGUUCCCUUCUCGGCCGCAGUCGCAAGAUCAAGAAGUCAGCAGCGCAUCCGACGCAACAUCAACGUAUUUUAUUCCUCGGCCGUCGAGUUGGCACGCCCCGCACACAAUCGAAUGACGUAUUUAGCUCAUUAGUUACUUGGCCUGCGCGCCACGUAGGCUUGGUAGUUUUUAGGGUCAACAGUUCUAUUUUAUUUAUUUAUAUACUUUAAUAUAUCGCUGAAAUUGAGGGAAGUGACAAUCUAACACAACGUCGAACGAGAAUUGAAUAGAUAACCAAGUCAUCGACGUCGCAUAAAAUAUAAUCAACAAGGUGUGUCACAAAAAUCAAGUUUAAAUAAACACAGAAAUACUAGCAUAACUAUAAUCAUACAAAAGAAAAACAAACAGGCAAAAUACAAAAGGAAAAGAGAGUGGAUUGUCACUCUUUAUCUGAAGAACUUGGGUGUAGCCGGAAAUUUUCCACUUUGCAUGUAUCUCUAACUUGAUGUAAGAGAUAGAGACAGGACCAAUAAAUCCCCCAUUACGCGCUGGAAUCCUCACUAGCUUGGGUACCUGCAACUACCACACUACCAUAGGGGUGGAUUUUUUUGCCAAAUUGCCAUGCCAACCAAAUUGCCAACCGUGCCAUACCGAUUUUGUGCCAAAUUUUUUGUACCAAUCGGUAAUGGUACGGUAUUGUACCGUACCGAAAUUUCAUGGUACGGUAUUGGUAAUGGAUACCAUUAUCACGGUAUUACCGUACCAUACCGAAAAUACAAUAUAAUUUAUAAUUGAUAAAUUAUAUAAUAGAUAACUAUAUAACACAUAUUUAUAAUAUUCCAAUAAUUUGAAAAUAAAACCCUACUUAUAUUAGCAUUGUUGUUGGUGACUUUGAUCUCUUAAAAUUGUGGAAAUCAAACACAAAAGAGUUCCUAAUUCUUUCACAAAUAGCCAAAAUAUCUUUGUAACCCCCACUUCUACUGUUGCUAGUGAAAAUGCAUUUAGCCUAGGGAGGAGGGUUGUGGACCUUUUUAGGGUAUCCUUGACUUCUAAAAUAAUGAAGGCAAUAGUGCGUACUAGUGGUUGGCUUAGGGCAGAUGAAGUAAACUUCUACAAGGAACCAACGGAAAAUAUGCUUCAAUUUUACAAGGAAAUGGAAGAAGAGAAAACAAGAAAGAUAUGCUUUAAUUUUUUUAGUAAAUUUGUUAUUAAAUGGUUUUCAACUUUAAUUCUUCUUGCUACUAAUUAAUAUGUUUUCUUUGUUUGUAAUGUAUGCUUGACACAAACUCAAUCUUCUACAAGUUUAAUGCCUCCUCCAAAAGCUUUGACAUCUCAAGCUUGAAUAACUGAUCAAUGAAUUCUCCUUUUUGAAGUUUACUUCCAAUUUUCAUUUGGUUUGAAACUUUGAUUUCUAUUUGGAUUGUUAACUUCUAUUUGUUUUGGUUCGUAACUUCUAUUUGGAUUGUAAGCUUAAUUUUCAUGAUGAAUUUUGAUGCAUCAUUUGAAUUAUUAUGUGUGUGAAUUGUAACUAAUGAAUAAUAGAUGAAUUUAAUCUAUAAUGUAUGAGAUAAAGGUACAAAAAAAAAAGUUUUGCCCUUGAAUUAGGUUAAAAAAACAAAAACAGAUUUUGUCCCAAAACAAAAUGGCAAUUACCAUUGCCAUACCAUGCCAACCGAACUUUUGGCAAUACCGAACUUCGGUAUACCAAAAAUUUGGUAUGGUAAUGGUAAUAGAUUUUACCAAACCGAAAGUUUGGUACGGUAAUUGGUACAAGAGUUUUGGUACGGUAACCGUACCGAACCCACACCACCUUUACGACUACCAGAUACCGAGGGAGAUGAGAUAGAACCGCCUUCAAAAUCAACAUCCGCAUCAUCACAAGACCAAGCACUUGCCUUUCUCAAAACAUGAUGAUGUGGGGUAAGCAAGGUUCUAAAAGACGCUAGACGUUAGGUGCUAGUCGAACGGUGGGUAGUGGCCUAGCGUCUAGACGGUUAGGCUUUAGAAUAGUGGGAUAAGAAUGCACUUAUGAUGCAUGGAUACUUCACUUUGAUCACGUAUCCUGCAUACAAUAUUGUCAGAUACUCAUCUGGUACGUAUUAUGGUUAAGUUUGACAUGAUGGAUACACAUAUUCAACAUUUGAGAUACACAAAUCAUGCUUUUAUGAUACUUUUACACUUUCAAAUAAGAAAUUAAAAGAACAUAAAUUAAUAAGAGACGAAACUUUAUUUUGAAAUCUAAUGGAUAUGAAGAACUAACCUCUAAUUGAAACUUUGAAUAAAACUCUCACACUUCUUCGAUAUAUAUCAAGGGAAUUAGAUUUAUCAAAUGAAUUCAAAUUCUUGUGUUCUCAAAAUAUGUUCCAAAUUAUAUAUUUUUAUUUUUGUAUAUCAUUAUAUUGUUUUUAUUGCCGUAUCUAUCUGUUGACCCUAGAAACUACAAAGCCUACGUGGCGCGCAGGCCGAGUAAUUAAUAAGCUAACUACGUCCUUCGGUGAAUGCGGGGCGUGCCAACUCGUCGGCCGAGCUCGGCCGAGGAGUAAAUUUGUUGAUGUUGCGUUGGGUCGCGCUACUGACUUCUGCGUCUUGCGAUUGCGGCCGAGAAAGGAACACGUCUCGGCCUCUUGGGCUCUCGAACCUGAAGACAAUGUUACUAUUCUCACGAAGCUCAAUAUCAAAUUCGGCCCUCAAUGUGUCGAAUGUAAUAACUCGUAACACCUCACUUCGCCGAGAAGGCUGAUGAGAUGACCUCGACCAAUAAGGAUUCAGAAAUCCUUCUCGACCGAGACUUGGAUAGGUAAUCGGUCGUUCUCACCGCAGUGCUGUUGAUGUCAACGGAAGGUACUGCGAGAUCGACUGAUUCUACGGUGACAGAGCUAUCUAUGCCGACUUAAGAUAUCACCGGUUGCUUCCACAGUGCUGUUGAUGCCAACGGAAGAUGUGUCAGCGAAAAAAGGAAAAAGAAAAAUCACAAGUUGUGAGAAUUUGCGCAGGGCAAUUUUGUAUUGAUUUGCAGGGGGUCUCUCUUCCGUUGCCACUACCUCUGUAUUUAUAGGAGCAAAUGUUGUGUGACGCGGCCAAAUAAUUUUGUAGAGUCCAACUGCAACUUUAUUUUGUGGAAUUGACCUUGAUCCCGUAUCAAAUAUGCCGCGCAUAUCCUUCAGAUAAACCCUGAUCCCGUAUCAAAUACGCCGCACAUAUCCUUCAGAUAAAUAAAGCCUACCUAGGCUUUAUCACAUCUCACUAGAGAUCUAACCCACCUAGGCUUCUUAUUAAAAAACAUGAGAAACCUUUAAACCCAUAUUGCCAUCACCAUGCAAAACCAUCAUCUCCAUUGUCGCAUGCCACGUGCACAAAACCAAUCCCAAAAAGCCAUGCAUUAGGAUAGAAUCUCCAUAUUGCACAAUUCUUUUGCAAAUUACACGUUUUGGCAUGUUUGGAUUUAUCCCCUAUCACUUCAUUAUCUUUACAUCCCAUGCAUGCAUGUCCAACAAAACAAACCAACCUGUCCCCAUGACAACUCUACUUGCCUCCAUCCCAUUUAUUUUGCAUAAAAAACCGAGAUAACUUAUUAAAAAAAAUAAUUAUUAUGAUUAAAAAUCAUAAUAUUAUCUCUUAACAAUAAUAUCUAAACUUUCUUAUCCAACGGUUGAGAACCAUGCUUACUCAACGGCCUCGAUUGCUUAGGCCGAUGUGUAAAAUCAGGUCCAAACACUAUCGCAUAACACAUCCUACAUUUUAGAGAUUUUUUGUAUAACCAUGUUAUGUCGUAUCAUAUUGCUGUAUCUGUAUCUUCAUAGGAAUGCACAUAAUCCUCAAAACUCACCACCCGUUCCACCGCCAUCGCUGCCACCCUUCUUCCCAUCAUAAGCCCCGGGAGACGCCACUGCGUCAGGCAGCGCCGCCUCACCCUCCAAGUACCUCACCACCUGCCUCAUUGUGGGCCUUGCCCUGGGGGAAUUAUUUGAACACAUCAGCCCUAGCUUCAGCACCACAACGGCCUCCAGAUCAUCAAACUCACCCCCCAAUCUGUGGUCCACAACUUCAAGAAUUAAGCCGGCCAUCCACUUCUCCCAAACCCAAUCAACCAAUAUCAGCUCCUCCGGCAGGGCUUUUGGUUCAAUGGGUCUCCUCCCACACACCAGCUCCAGCAGGAGAGCACCAAGAGCAAACACAUCCGAGCUCGGAGUCGGUUUUCCGGUCCGAGUCAACUCCGGAGCGAGGUAACCCAGUGUCCCAGCAACCCUAGUUGUUGUAGGGUUUGCUCCAUGCUCAUACAAUUUAGCAAGACCGAAAUCUCCAAGCCGUCCGUUCAUCUCAGAAUCCAAAAGAACGUUUCCUGCUUUUAUGUCCCUAUGAAUCACAGUCUGCUCCCAACCUUCGUGCAAAUACAAUAAGCCAGAAGCUACAUUUUGAGCUAUCUUGAACCUCUGUUCCCAGCUCAAAAUUGCUUUUGGCUUCUCAAAUAAAUAUUUAUCCAAGCUCCCAUUAGGCAUAAAAUCAUACACAAGCAGCAAAUCUCCGCGCCGGCGACACCACCCCAACAACUGCGCUAAAUUCCUGUGCCUGAGACGGCCAAUGGUGGCGAUUUCCGACACGAAUUCCUGCAGACCCUGCCUCGACUCGUUCGAAAUUCGCUUAACCGCCACUUGGGUUUCUGAAUUCGGCAAUGUCCCUUUGUAAACCUUACCAAAUCCACCAAACCCGAUCACCUCUUUAUCCCUGAACCCUCUGGUGGCCUGCUUCAGGUCGUUGUACCUGAAUCUAUGAGGCCCAAUGUCGAGCUCCCACGGCUCGAUCACCUCGGCGUUCUUGAUCCUGUGAACAAUGUAGAAGCCCAAUCCGGCGGCCAAGAUAAAGAAAACAAGAACAGAAAGAGAAACGCCAACGAUCAGCGCUGAUGAAUGCUUCUUUUUACGGCGGGGAAGUUUAGGCAGAGCUUCUAAAUCCAGAGAUUUGGCUUCUCCGUUCAUCUUAAAGCUCCAACCGGAGACGUAGUGGGAGCUGGCAAGCAACCCGGUCGAAGCAGAGAACCCAACGUACAUAAAAUCUUUCAAAAUUGGAGAAAGAUCGACAUCGAAUGUUAAAAUCGGGGAUCUGGGUUUGAUCGAAUAGGGUGAAAGCAUGACAGUGACUUGAUUUUUCACCGAAUCGUAAUCGACCCAGGCCUGGAUCGGCAGUCCACUCUUGAGAUUGAGGUUCUCUUUCGUCGAAUUUCCACCGCUGAAAAACCCGGCUGGGGUCGAUUUGUUGGAAGCCAGGGUGUUGAUAUCGAUUCCGACAUGGUUGUCGUUGAUGUCCCCGAAUUCGAAGUCCUUGACUGUGUCGAAUUCGACGGCAAAGAUGUGGUUGGAGAAGUUGCCGACGACGGUGGAGUUGAGGAUGCCGAGGUACUGGCUGGGGAGGGAUCCCGGGAGCGAUUUCGACGGCGAGAUUAUGAAGGCAAGGCCGUGGCCGCCGAGCUUUGGGUACUGCGGGACGAUGGUGAAUACGAAGGAGGUGGAGAAGGAAAAGGCUUUGCCGUCGGUAGAGCUUUUGAAUCGGACUGGGGCGGAGUAGAAGGCGUGGCCGAGGACUCUGAGAGUGUCGUUUGUGAGCUUUAGCAUGCCGUUGGGCUCGAUUGAUGCGACGCCGUUUAAGCUCAUGUUGCUGCUGUUGGAGACGCCAUUGAAGCCGUUUAAGUAGAGCUCUUGGUCGAGCUGGGUUUUUGUUGGGUUUGGGAGGAAGAGGAGGAAAACCCAGCAAAGUAUGAGUCUUUGGAAUCCCAUAGGAAGUAGAGCCGUAGAGGUCGACUCUUUGCUGGGUCUCUAUUAAGCACAUGGCAAUGGAGUUCAGUACCAAAUAUAACUAAAAUUUCACCUUUAAUUUUUAAAAUAUCAUAUAUUUUUAAAAUAAACUUUAAAAUCUCUCAAAAAAAAAAAACAAAAUAAACUUCAAAAGACUUAAGUGCCUUCAACUUAUGUGGGCUCCUGGAAUGUUCUCUCCGUACCCAGUAAAUUAGUAAUUGUAAAAUUUACAUAUGCAGAUGGGAAUUUUUCUAUCCUUUCCUUUUUAUUUUUUUGUAUGCUUUUUUUACUUUUAGAGUUUUGGAUCUUGAUUAUUUCCACAUUUCCCAAUCCAAUAAGUAGAAAGAACAGUUUUUCGUUUUGUUCGUGACGCAUUUUUAAAGGCAAAUGUGGGCGGGUCAAUUGGGUUCGCGGGAUAAAGAAUCACCUCAUCAAUCAUAGUAGAAAAUGGUUUGAGAGCGCGUUUACUAAUCCAUAAUUAGAUUUAGGGGAAUUGAAUUAAGGAGGAAUUAGAAUAAGCGAUAAUUGGAAUGAGCUGGAAUCAGAAUUAGAUUCAUGUUGAAACUGUUUACCAAAAUUGUCUGAAAUCGGAGUAGAAAUGACAUUGAUCUAUAUAAAUUGUUUACUAAUUCAUAUGAAUCGAAAUAAAAUCUAAUAUAAUUACUAAAGUACCCAUGCUUAACUAAUCUAUUUUAUUUGCUAAUUAUUUUUGGUAAAACUUUUACUCUUUCAUUUUUUUUUAUUUUUUAGAGAGAAUUUUUUUAAGUAAAACUUUUAGUACAAUUUAAUAUGAAAGAAUAUUUUUUAUUUGCGUCUACAUAUUUGAGAAGAUUCUUAAUCACCCUAAUUUAUUUCCUCUUCUCUUUCUCCCCCUCUCCCUAGUCUCUUUUAGUAGCCGCUCUCGCUUGACCAAAACGCUCUCACCCACACCAUCCUCUCCAAUACCCACCACCACUACCGUCUCUCCUCAUUCCUCUCCUCCCCCAUCCUCUUCUCUCUCACCCUCCACGGCCUCAACUCACUCCCCCUCAUCCACAAGAUUAUCCUCAACGCCAACCACGUUCUCUCUCAUCCUUCUUCCAUGCCGUUCGUGGAUGUUCACCAAAUCCUCGUUGACAAACGCCCUGGGGAAUAAGGGUCUGCCAUUCACACCAAUCCAAGCAAUCAAUUUCUGACUUGCAGCCCUAAAUUGGUUUGCAACAUUUGCAUAAAGAAAGGUCUGCCGUUCUAGGACUUGUUCCAUAAGAACAUGACUCGGCCCGGCGUUCCGCCCGGGUUUGCAGUGUGUAAGGGCGGUGUCGUGGUGGUGGUCAAGGUGUAAGGAGUCGGCAUAGGAGAAACGAAGGAGAGGGUGCGCUAUUGGUGGGUGCAAGGGUAUUUUUGGGUAGAAAUGUUUGAUUCCAGAGGGAGGCUUCCUCCGGGAAUUCAAUUACCACCUCCAUGUAGGUAAUUGAAUUCUGAAAGAUUAAGGAAUUCGAUUCCGGAUUUUAAGUGGAUCCCAUUUACUUUUUCAUUCCCUACAUGUUAGUAAACGCCGAAAUGCUUCGAGUGGAAUGGGAUUCCGUUUCUUUCUAUUCCAUUCCCGUUUGGUAAAUACGCCCUGAGUUCAAUUAAUUGACUCGAGUCAAAUUGAAUCUGGAUCCUUUUUGUGAGGAUUCCGGAGAUUCGUGAAUCAUACAUCAUGCGAUCAGAAAUUAUUUUAAAUAUCAACACAAAUAGUACCUGACAAAAACUAACUGCACGAUGUACGAUAAACAGACACAAUUUACGGAUCUCUAGGAUUCUCACCAUGAUGACCCAUCCCUAAUUUUCUAUGUCAUUUCCUUCCCAAGUAUAUAAAAUGACGAUUAUCCCCUUGUUGGCAAAGUGGAACUUGACGUGGACGUUGUUAUUCAGCUUUUAAUUUAAUAAUUCGUUACUAUUCAUCCAAAGAAAAAUCAGAUGGAUUACUAUUCAUAUGAAGAAAAAUCAGAUGAAUUACUAUUCAUAUGAAGAAAAACGGAUGGGUUAGUAUUCAUGCAUAGUAUUUUCACUAUUCAUUUGAGGAAAAUUUGUAAAAUGAAUAGUGUUGCUACAGUAAUCUUUCCAACUUUAAAAAUCAAUCAUUCUCACCCACCAUGCCUAUCGAUUAAUCAUUCUCCUUAUUUUAUUUUACUCAUUAAUUAGACAUUCUCUCUCUCAGCUUCUCGUUCUCUCUCUCUCUCUCUCUCUCUCUCUCUCUCUCGUCGUGUCUCCCUCUUCCCUCUGCAAUACAGACACCAUCAAAACACUCCUAGCAUCCCUAGAAACAUGAAUCCAACCUAGGGUUUUUGAAAAUUAGAGUCCAACUGCGAGUCCUACAUCCUCCAUUGAAGCCGCGACUUUCCCGGCCAAUUUCUCGUCUAUUCCAGCCAAGCUGAGGUCUCUAACCAUCAUAUUUGGAUUCCUCUCGUUGAGUAGAUGACUUUUCAUAUAUAGAUUGUCGAUUUUGGUUAAGAAUUGACAAAGUUAUGGACGUCUAAAGUUUUCCAUUUUUUUGGCGAGUUCCCCAGUUUUCCCUCGGACCAGUUACGUUUCAGACCAUUUUCUAGCCAUCUCUAGCAACCAUUGGGCUUUCAAAUAGGUAUAAUAUUGUUCUACACUUUCCUAGAUUCAUUUUGAUAUAUUAUGGGCAAAAUUUGGUUAAGAAAUGAACUCGUUAUGACCAUUUGAUAUAUAUUAAUAUGACUUAUUUUUAGCUACGUCUUCUGGAACCUGUUUUUAAUCUCACUUUACUCUUUGUAACUAAAAAAUUGUCACUUUACUCCUUAAAAAUCAAAGUUCGCUUCACUUCCUUUUGAACUCGAUUUUGAUCCUAUUUACCCCCUGAAACUUGAAAGUCGUCUCUAUAAAAAUCAAAAUUCACUCCACAUUGCCUUAGAUCUAUUAAUUUCUUAUGUCGAUUUGAUAUGAGUGUGACAAGCUAAUCAAUUUAUUUUUUAUUUUUUUCGUCUCUUUAAUUUCUUUCAAAUUUAAUAUUCUCUAAUUGUUGAAUGUUAAUGCAUAAUGGAGAUUUAUAAUCAAAUUUAUUGGACUUGUGGCAUUGUCUUAUUAGGUGCUGGGUGCCACAUAUGUUUUUGGAGGCGACAUAUAAGUUUCAGGGAGAAGAGAUAGUUCAUAAUUCAAAGUGAAAAGAAUUUUGAAUUAAGGAGUAAAAUAGUAAUUUUUGAGUUAUAGAGGGCAAAAUGAGAUCAAAAAUUUUUUUUUAGGGGGCAUAGCCAAAAUAAGCCUCUUAAUAUUAACAAUGGACAAUUUCCUGCUGCUUGAAGCCCUGCAGCUAGGGGUGGGCAAACGGGUACAUGAACCGCGGGUAGGGGCGGGUAAUUCAGGUUUGGGGCGAGUCCAAAAUUUCUAAACACAAAACGGGACGAGGCGGUUCGGGUAUAUGAAAUUAUCGGGGUGGGGCAGGUCUUAAAAUAGGAGGGAACGGGCCCUCAGCUCGGCUCGUUUCUUUUCCUCAUCCCUAGUCUUCUCAAUCUCUCAUCCCUGACUCUUUUCAUUUCACUCAUACCUCGAGACCUCCUCCUAACUCGCUCACAGCCUCCUACUGUCCCAGCUCCGUACGCCACCACCAUCAUCGUAAGACCUCAAUCUCUCCUGAUUCACUCAUGUCUUCCUCGCUUUGUCCGUUGCCAUCAUCAUAGGCCUCGAUCUCUCCUGACUCACUCUCUGGAAAUCACUCUCUCUAACGAACUCAAAGGGACAUACGAAGUCAAACAACUCGAAACGACGUCUCCUCUGUCUAACCCAUAUUUGUAGGGCACGACUAUACUCAUAGUCCUCUUUAGUUUUAAGGUAUUACAUUUUAGGAUUUAGGAUUGAAAAUUAAAUUAGGGUUUUCUAGAUUUAGGGAUUUUGUUGGGUUUUUGAACCUUGACUUAUGUUAUGUUCCAAUUUCAAAUCUUUUAUUGAAUUGAAUUUGAAUCGAUUGAGUUUGAAAGUUCUGUUGAAUUAAAUUUAAUUUGGGUAGAAGAAAAGGUAGAUCUGAGUAGGGCAGUGUCGAAUCUCAUUGUGGGUGGCGAUUUGGAACUGGGUUUGGUGGGUUUGGGUCUAAUGGUGAGGUGGGCAUGGGCGAAGACGACAUUGAGUGGCGGUGGUUCGGGCGAUGCUAUUGAGUUAUAGAAGAAUACGAAGGAGGGGGUGUGGGCAUGGGUGGAUAUCGCAAUCUCAAUUGAAUUUUUUCUGGUUUUGUUUGUGAUUAAUUGGUUGUUUGUGAUAGUUAGUGAUGGAUUUUGACAUGCCCAUUUGAUUGUAUCAAAUUCAAACCGAUUGAAUUGUAUCCUAGGAAAAAAAACACAAAGGAACUGUGGACCUGUCCCGUUUCAACCAGGUCGGGUUAGGUCCGGUUCCUAUAUUAGAAAAUGUUGUCCCCGGCCUGCCCUGGCCCGUUUCUCUUAAGCCCGGGUUCAGUCCAGUCCCUUCGAAAUUGUGCCUAGCCCGGUCCGUGCACACCCCUACCUGCAACUGUACAACGAGUACCAGCAAUACAAAUAGUACAACUAGUACCUGCUAGGCUGCUACAAAUCCAUUUGGAACGCUCCCUCUAGUGCCUCAGAUGUCAAUUGGUUGCGGUGGAACAAUUCCAUAUGGAAUUUCGAGCAUGCUUGUUGUUAGAUUUGGCAUUCAUGUCGUGUUUUCUGUGUUUAUGUAGUUUUCGUGUAACACCUGUUAAAAUAAACAGGUAAUAAGACUCAACCCAAACUCAUCCCGUUAAUAUUAACGGGAAAUAUGACUGACCUGUUAUCCGUUAUAAAAAAUAUAUUUGAAACCAACAAUACUCAAAUGAAAAACAUAAUAUUAAAUUAGUAUAUACAUACCACAUUAUCACAUAAAUAUUAUUUUCAAAACAUAAAAUCACAUUUAUCUUUCAAGUAUCACAUAUAUAUUGAAAAAAUAUAUAUAAACGCCCGUAAUGAUAAGUUUUACAACUUUUGUGAAGGGCUCAAGUUCGAAAUUGCCACUAUAAUAACAUAAACUAUAUAUCAAAAUUUAACCGUUAAUUGUCGUUCACAUUUAUGCUCGAUUAUUCCCACCAAAUUUUAUUUUUUUAGAUUUUUUGUUUGAAAACAUGAUCUUUUAAAGGGUGCAUGAAGAUGCGGUUCGGAUAAUUGAUAUGACGUUUAGAGUUUUACUAUUAGUGAAAAUAUUGCUCGAAAGUAUAUAAAGUCUCUAGAAAUUAUAUAACAUCGACUUAUUUUCAAUUAACUGUAAAUAUCUGAAUGUGAUAUCAAUGAUCCGAAUCGUUCAUUUUUCUACCUCUGCUAAAAGAUAAUUGUGGAGCUGAAAAUAAUCAAGAAAAUUAUAAAGGUGACACGUGGACUUGUGGGUUAAAAUGAUAAAAUUACCCUCCAGGCAUACUGGGAUUCCUACACGCACACAACGGAUAAUAACGGCUCAAUCAAGAAAGAGUCAAAGGUGAUCAAAAUGAUAUUUAUUCAAAUCUCUUUCAUCAAUCCUCAUCAAAUCCUUAUUCAAAAAGUAACUCAUAAAACUACUUAUUUAAUUUGGAAUUAAUUAUCAUGUUAAUUGUAAAAUAUUAUUUCACAUACUAUCUUGCAAUUAUUGUCCAAUUACACCAUAUAUAAUCGGUCAAUAUUCUUCAAAUAGGACUAGCCACUUCUGUAUAAAUAUCCCUAUUAUUCCAUUAAAAAGUUAAAUCAUUUACUACCCACAAAUUCUAAAAUCGUGAGAACCCGUUUUUGGUUAGGUUUCUGUGGAGUUUUAAAAUCAGAAAAUAGGAUCCUUCCCCACUUCCAUCAGCCGGCCUUCUCUAUUUUUUUCUACAAACAUCAUCAUGACUUUCAGCGGCACGAUCGUUACCUUCCACUAUUUUUAAACUUUCUCACAACUCCCUAACUCUCUUUUUCCCCACUUUCUUCCCUCAUGCCGUGUCCGUCUCUCUUUCUUCAGUGCUCAAUGUUUAUUGUUUUUUAUUAAAAGUUUUGGACCACCUUACUUCCUUCCACUCACAAAUUUUAGUAUAUUUUACUCUCUAUUCCCACUGACUUCCACUCAACUCUCCCCCCCCCCCCCCCACCCCUUUUUAUUUUAUUUUAUAUUUUCUGCUAACUCUCCCUCCCUCUAUUUACAUUUCUCUCACUUCUCUCCUUCCCUCGAACUCUCUCAUUUCCUCUGCAUGCAGAGAGCUCCGAGAGCCCCAAAAACAAGGAGCUGCUCCUCCAUUUGGUUAGUAAGCAUCCAGGAACAUCCGUUAAAAUUAGGGGUUUGGUGAGUUGGUUGUCUUGUCAAAUCUCGGAUUAUCAAUGUGAGUGGUUUAUGUAAUGUGUUGCAAAUUAUACUUAUUUGCAAAUAUCUUUAUUUCAAGUCAAGUACGUUGGAUUUGUAGAAAUGCUUAGUAUGUUGGAUUUGUAGAAAUGCUUUUGGAAUUAUUAAUAUAGUGAUAUGUGGAUAUUUGGAAUUGUUCAUGGAGCAUGAGAAUUUUAGUGUUACAUUAUUCUGAGAAAUAAAUGUAAACUGCACACGAAGACAUUAGGGCAGAAUGAUCAAUAGGAAUCAUGUGAUGAGUUACUAUUUAUGAAGGAUUUAAUGAACACGAAAAUGGAUGAUGUGAUAUGGCACUACGUGCAUAAUGACUUGAUAUUAUUAUUGUAUUUUCUAUAGUGACUAAAAUGACAUUGCUUGACUGUCAUAUUACAUAUUCUACUCACUUAGAGACUUGUUGCUCACCCUUCACCCUUUUAUUUUACAGAUGAGUUAUCUGACAAGACAGGUACUAGACGAGCUGAGAUUGUGUUAGAUAAGGAAUUUAAGAGUUUUUCUUAUUUUUGUACUUUGUAAGGAUUUGUAAUAAUUACUUGUAGAAGAGAACCUUUGUUUUACGUUUAUGAUAGUUUUACUUUUAUUCACGCACCGGGCGUGGGGUUCCGCCGACUCUGGAUUCGGGACGUGACAAAAAUACAAUCUUUUCAAAAUUUUAAGUUUGGCAUAGGAGAUUCUUUGGUCAAAGCCCCCCAUUCAUCAUGGGCGCGUGAGGCUUUAGGCUUUAAUCUUAGGUUUUAUUAUUUUGCAGGUACAUUUUCGUCAAAGGAGAAGAUGACGGAAAUUUGCAUCCACAAUAAUGUUUAAAAAAAUCUAAAAAAUGAAUUUUAGUGAGAAGAAUAAAGCGUAAAUGACAAUCGACGGUUAAAAAUAAAAAUCUAAGGUUUAUGGAUUAUGGUGAGAAAGUUAUAAAGCUUGUUAUUACGAGUGAUAGCUUCUACAAUAAUUAUUAUUAAUUUUGCACUCAAAUAAAAAAUAUUAUUCAUGAACGUUUCUAAAUCUAAACUAUGAUGUAACCAUCGUUGCGCGUGGAGGAUGUAAUCACGAAUGUUUAUAUAUUAUUUCACAUUUUUCACACUUAUACAUUAAUUAUUAUGAAUUUGUUAAUGUGUUUGGUAUUUUUCAAGUACUUUGAUAUUUUUGUUUUUAAAUGUGCUUUAUAAUGUUUUAAUCUCAAUUUUAAGAGACUAAAACAUUUAUGAGUAUGACUGUAUAAGAGAGUGAAAAUCUUUGUUAAGUCGUUGACUUUAAAAUUGAAAGUCUGUCUUUUUGCCUAUACUAAUACUAUACUAGUUGAUUUGAAUUUUGGACAACCGUUCAAGUAAAAUUUAUCCUAGUAAUGAUAAUAAGAAACUCUCAUAAUGGAAAUAAAUAAAUAAAUAAAAAUUAAUUUUUUUUUAACUUAUAUAGAAUAAUAAUACAUUAAUAAUACAAUAAAACAUAUUUAAUAUACAAUAUAUACAUUAUGGCUAGAGUUUUUAUCAUGAAUAGCCAAAAUUUAGACUCUAAUUUCACAAAUGUCAAUUUUUAUAAUAUCUUUCAAAUAAAUAAGAAAACCACCUUGAACAAACCUAAGUACCCUCAUAAUAAAAUCAAAUUACAACCAUAAACUAAAAGUUGUUUGAUCUUAUGUGUUUGUUCAAAAAAUGGAGACAGUUCAAAAGAAGAAAAAAAGAUGGAAACUUCAGAUGUCACGCCCCGAUUCCAACAUUCGUCUAGGAUCGACGUGUGACGAUCAAGUGCAGGGGGUGCGAGCAGAUACAAACAAUAUAUACAAAUGAAUACUAGUAUUGAAAUGAACAAUAUUUACAACUUGGUAGGGUUUUGUCAUAAAUAUAUAAUUGUACAACAAAGGUAACGAUUGUAGGCUCCCAAUUACGUCCUGCUUGCACUUACACGUUUGUAUUGACACGUAUUAUCCGUGUAACGACCCAUCCCAAAAAAUUACAAUUUUUUAUAAUUUUAAAAUGUGAAAGUACGAAAAUGCCCUUCAAGGUGAAUGUGUUGACAUUGUUUGACCGCCUUGUUGUGUCACGUAAGGUCCAUUUUCUUGGCAUAUCCUCUUAGUACUCGUCGUGAGGAACACGUGGGCGCAAACGGAAUCGAAUUUGAAGUUAUAAUAAAAGAGUUAUUAACGAACGAAGUUAAGGGCAAAAUGGUCAUUUGACCAUAAAUUUGGAAGGCUCCAAAUUUUGCUGAAGUAGUUAGAUGAUGCCACAUGUGUGGCUGUGAUGGAAAGAAUAGGAGAGAAAGGAGGGGGUGCUGCCCAAUCGGGAAUGAGGAGAGGAGAGAGUGACCAAUCAGAAGAGAUAACAAAGAGGGAAAGGAAGGAAGGGAGAACCGACCGACCCAACGACUUCCAUGGUUUCCAACGCCUUUCACAGCUGUUUCCAGUCGAAUUAAAGCCACUCAUCACUUAAGAAACACUCCACGACCAUCCCUCUACCAAUUCCACACUAAAAUUGAAGGAAUUAGGCUCGGAUUCUUAAUGAACCACACCAUUGGGUGUGGUGGUUCCACAACGGCGAUCCAUCAAUCCUGAAGCUAACUUCGUCAACCACCACCACCAAUAGACUUCCCUUAACCCAGGAGCAAGGCCCAAGCAUUGGAUGAGGCGUCGGAGUUCGUUUAGGCAUCGAAUUGAGAACACUCAUUUCUAGGGUUUCUAACGGAUCGAGGCGUUUGUAGGCCAUUUCCCGACCAAAUUGGACUUCGGCCCAGGUAUGGAAGUUGUUCCUCUCAUUGAGAUUUUCAUUCCUAUAAAAUUUGGUGAUUUUUGAAGUUGGUCAGAAUUUGUGGGUUCUGUUCCCCGAAAACCGCCGUGUGUGGCGGCGAUGCGUGGGGGGAAACUCAAGGUCUCUUUAGGUCUUUCGACGUGCCGAAUUCGAAUUCGUAAUCCGUUUUUCCAAAAUUUAUCAUUUAGGUAUAGUUUUACCAAAUGAUCUCAAAUUGUGGUUUGGUGCAUCGGUGGGAAGUGACUCCAUCCUCGCUAGUUCAAGCAUUUCCCGGGCAACAAAAUAUUUGUAAGUGAACCCCUUCUUAACUUGCAUGGUUUUAUAAAAUAUUAGGUUUGCAUGCAUUGCAUAUUUCAUGAAAUGAGCUUGUUUUCUAAUAUGUUUUAUGGAUUUCUAUAUUCAUGCUUUUUGAAGAACUUAUGAUUUAUUUAAAUGCUUUUACGAGAUAUUUAGGACUUAUCGAAAUUACGUUUUAAAGAAGAUUAUGAAUGAUUGGAUUUUCGAGGGAUUUACGAAUAUGACUUAUUUUACGGAUUUAUGAGUAUGUGCUAUCAUGGAUUGAUGAGAUAAGGUUUUGAGCUUAGAGCUCCGAAUUUUGAUAUGAGAUUUUUGAGAUAUGUUUUCUGUACGUAUCUAGCGAGUUAUCAUACAGCACAUCCACACAACACGGGUAUGUAGAUGUCUAUGGCCAUAUGACAUAGUUGAGGAUAUGUGAUGUAUAUUUCUUAACUCGGAGUUGUACAACUUCACCUUCGGGUGAUGGGGCCUACCAUGUUUCUUCACUAGCGUAACCCAGUGUCGUACAGCUUCACCUUUGGGUGAUGGACAUGUAUUGCCUUUGGGCGGAUGAUGAGUUGAUGAUAUUUAUGCCAUACCCCCAGCUUCACUGCCGAAAGUAGUGUCGGACAGCGUUUCAUUGUCGAAAUCAGUGUCGGUGUGUGAUGUAUAUAUUUUCUUCUUCGGCGAAACCCGAAAUCGUACAUCUUCACCUACGGAUGAUGGGGCCUACCAUGUUUCUUCACUGGCAUAACCCAGUGUCGUACAGCUUCACCUUUGGUGAUGGACAGGUACUGCCUUCAGGCGACUAUGAUACCCUUAGAGAGUAUAGUAUUGAUGAGAUUUACGGAUUUGCCUUCGGGCGGUGAUAACACAAUUAUUGAGCAUCGUUUUACAUGUACAUGUUUUACGAAUGCAUUUCAUGGCAUGCUAGAGUUUUCAAAACAAGGGGCUAGUAUGUUCAGAAAUAAAAUAGUUUUCGUAUUAUCAGUAUUAUUAUAAACUUUGCUCCACUCACCUUUUCGGUUUUACGCCCCCUCAAGAGUUAGAAUCGAGGCAUACGAUCCCUGUGUCAGGGCAUUUCUGCUUAGGCAUCUUCGAGCCUCCUCUGUGUAGGUUCCAUUCCUCGGUUCGUACCUUUCCAUAAUAAUUCUUUCAUAUUAUUCUUGAUUAGUUGUAUGUUUUGAACACGAUUCUGCAUUUGUGUAUCUCUUUCUAAUUACAUGUUUUAGUUAUAUGCGUGUUUAAAAUGGCUUCGUCGCCCUCGGGUGUCGGCCAGCACGUUCCUACCCUGAUAUUUGGGGAUAUCGGGGUUGGGGCGUGUCAAUUCGAAUAUGCCAAGAAGUGUGGCAAAACAUGGAAAGAUCAUAUGUGUCCACGUAAAACUCCGCGUAGCCCAACAAGAACAUUUUCGUCAUUUUUCAAAUUUCAAAAAAAAUUCUACAUCAUAAAUAUAAACGCGUCGAAGUACUAUAAUACGGAAUGCAGUAUUUAUAUAGUGAAAUUAGAGGAUGAGAUUUCACAGCAAAGGCUCCGCCUCUACAAGUUCUCAACCGUAAAUGCUUGAGUGAAUUGGAUAGCAAUUAAAAAUGGGAUUAACGUCUAUAAUUUCUUUGAUUUUAUAUUAUUGGCGUCAGUUUUUUGCAAUUAGGUUUUAACUUACUGCUACGCCCCAAUCCCGACAUACGUCUAGGAUCGACAUGUGAUGUCACCAAGUAUCUUUAUAUCUAACAUACCCCGCUUUCAGAAUAUGUACCAAGCACGCUCAAGCCUCAAAUUGAGUAGUGAUUUUUCGUAUACUUUAUGGCUACAUCUAACCUCCUCAUUAGACUACCUAUGUACCCUCAAUAGGGAUCAAGCCAUUUGUAGUUCACCAUUCAUUACAGUUCGACGUUUAUCACAGUACGUUCAAAUUGAAAAGCAUAGCAUUCCUCAAUCAAUUAUUAAAACUUAACAAGCAUGAAUUACCAUAUUCAUGGCUACAUAACAAACCCACAUGACAUUCAAGGUUUCCAUUCCAUCCAUCAUAUAAAUCACUAUGUUUUCAACAUGAUACCUCCAUACACAUCAUGUAACAUAUCCAAUAACCAACGAAGCACAAUAUUGUUCUCAAGCCACAUUGAUCAACUAAAAUAAUCAUAAUAUUAACAAUGAUAUCCAACGUCAUUCCACAAUCCCGUCAAUUAAUCCAUUCAUAAAUCAAGGAUGCAUGAUCUUAGCAUUUAACUACGUUAAUCAAUCAAUAUGAUAACAUAUCAUUUCACGUAUUUAAUUAAGGAACUCUAUAAAAUUCCUUACUUGGAUUAUGAGUAACAACAUGGCAAAUCUAAUUUAUAUUCACAAGGUCAAAUGUGGAUAAUUCCCAUUCACUCGAAUCUAGGGUUCUAGAAUAACCUUUUGGAAAUGAGCAAGAGUAAGGAUUCCGGACCACUCAAGGGAACCAAAAUAUCAAUCGGUUUCUCGUAAUCUACCCAGACCUGUCGCAUGUAAAAUUAGUGCCUACAUCAUGGAAAUGGUGCACUGGGCAAAUCAGAACUUGGAUAAGCUGCAAAGCUCGGGUGAGUAACAAUAAUACAAGUAUGCGGUAUUCAAUAAAAACAGACCAUCAAUCAUAAUCUAUAAACAUCAAGUAUAGAAUCAUGCUUUAUGAAAUCAUAAUCAAGCUGCUGAAAACUCCGAAGGAGUCACCCAGACAUCCAACGACUUUUCUAAUUCAAACCACAAUAUUCUCAAAAACCAUUGUUCAUAUGUGCAUUAAAAACUAGGGCUAGAUGGAUGCAGUUCGGCCGAAGCCUACAUAAGUAACCAAACAGGAAGUGACCCCCCAAAGCGGAUUAACCAAGCAGAGCCACCCCUAAGAAAGUAACCAAGUAGGCAGUGACCCCCUAAUGCAAAUUGACCAAGCAGAGUCACUCCUACAACUGUUAGGAAGUGAUCACCCAAUGCGGAUUAACCAAGCAUGAUCACUCUUAAGCAUGCAUGGCCAUAGGAUCAUCCAACACGGAUUAACCAAGUGCGAUCCAUAUAUAGUAUGGAUUAACCAAGCAUACAUGGCCAUAAGGAUCACCCAACGUGGAUUAACCAAGCAGGACCAUUAAUGACCCCCAAUGCGGAUUAACCAAGCAGGGUCAAGAUAAUUAGGUAAGUAGUGACCCCCCAACGCGGAUUAACCAAGCAAAGUCACACCUACAGACCUGUUAGGCAGUGAUCACCCAACGCGGAUUAACCAAGCAUGAUCACCCCUAAGUAUAAAUGGCCAUACUGAUCGCCCAACGUGGAUUAACAAAACGCGAUCCAUAUAUAGUAUGGUCCCCCAAUGCGGAUUAACCAAGCAUGGUCAUAGUCCCCUACUAGCCCUCAAUUUACAAAACAUUUCAAUAUGCAAUUCGAAUCACUUUUUCACAAAUAUUACCAAUCCAUGAAUCAAAUCACAUUUAAUAAAAAUAGAUUGAUGGCCAAUUAUAAAAUAAUCACAUUUUAACAAAAAACACAUUUAUAAAACCAUGUCAUAUCCACAAAGGAUAUUAAUAUAAAGAAUCGGGUAAUCACCAUAUCACAUAUACUAAAGUUACUUACCGAGACAAGUCCGCAAAGCUUCACUGAGUCUCUAGUAAUACUAAUUUUAGUAAUUCAAAUGGUUCAAGACCUGUUGACCAAAAGUCGACGGUGAGGUCCACACCCUAGCAAUUUAAUCAGGAAGAUCCGCACAUCAUAAUCUAGAUCUGUAACUUCCUAUGGUCCACAUUAUGCUCAAAGAACAACAUACUAAAAUCUCAUCGCGAUCCGACGGUUAGAUCUUCGCCAAUUGCUAGAAUUUGGUGACGGUUAACAAUUAAUUUUACUAACUUAGAAAUCUAAUUUAGGAAGAUCCGUACUUGGUUACGAUCCAACGGUCGAAUUGGCGAUUUAUAUUUUGAUCAAGUAAUUUAUCGCAAUGAAACUAAUUUCAAACAAUCAAAUUACGUCAUACGGCUAUCAAUUAUGGAAUCAGAACAUCUAAUUAAACUUAGGAAGACAUCAUCGGCCCACUGGCUUCGUGCCGCCGUGGGUGGCGGUUGACCGUCCCGGCUCGUCGGAAAAUUCAACUAUUUUAAAAAAUUACCAAAUUUUACAGGCAAUUAGAUCUCAGUGAGGGGAUAAAUUUUUAUACCUGUGGCCAAGUCCAAUUCGGCCGGGAAGUGUCCCAAUUUCAUCCAAACUUGCCGAAAACCCUAGAAAUGGGUGUUCCUCGAUUCAUCGCUAAAACGAACUCCGACACCUCAUCCAAUGCUUGGGCCUUGCUCCAGGGGUUGAAGGGAGUCUAUUGGUGGUGUUGAUAGACGGUAAUCAUUGUCGGAAUUACCAUAAAAUGAGAAAACUCGUCGGAAAAUCGUGGACUUUGUGGCUUCGUUUGUAAAAUUGGGUUAGAGAUUGAAAAAUAUAAUACCACAAAGAUGUUGGGUUCGCCGAGGGCUUUCCAUAGACACCAAAAUCACCUCAAUCGGAUGUCGGACGGAAGAGAUACAACCGGAUCAAAGAACUGGGUUGGGGUUUGAAAUCUGGUCAAGGUUGCUUGGGUGUUUCCUCCCCUCUCUCCUUUCCCUCCUUCUUCCCCCUUCUGAUUGGUUCCCUUAACUCACGUAAAUAUAAUUGACCUCUUUGGGAAUUUAAAAUAAAUUUAAAAUCUAUAGUUUAGUAACAUAACUUCAAAUGUCCAUAUCUAUACCGUUAUAAUCCGGACUCGCAAACAACUUUUGCUUAUGCGCUCGUAGUGUCAAGAUUUAUUUGAAUACGUUACUUGUGACCUCAAAAGGUCAACGAAUUUUAGAUAAUUACUUUCCAAACUUCAAACUUUGUAACUAAUUUAAUUAAAAUCUAAAUCCAAAUAAAUUAAUAUAAUUUCUUAAAAAAUAAUAUAAAAUCUCAAUAAUACAAAUACGUAGAUUAUAAUAAUAAAAUUCAGGAAUGUGAUUUCACACUUAUGGGCUUCAAAUCGUCUCCAGAUCUAUUACUUCUAGAUCCUCGGGGUCAAAACAUCAUGGUCGUCAAUAAUAAACAGUGUGGCCCCAGAAAUCACCUGGGAGAGGGAGCAGUUGGAAUCGCCUAAAAUUGCCGAAGUUCGGCUUAGAUACAACUCGAAUCAGUUAGGGAGUUCCAUUCCACUGAGGGUUCCUCGUUUUCAUGUCUUAGUUUAUAUGGAGUUCCUAAACGAAAAGGACAUGGGAAGCAAGGGCGUUUGCAGCAGAAUGGGUGGGCUAAUCUUAUCGGGAAGCAAGGGUGUUUGCAGCAGCUUUCAGAGGAGAAAAGAGAGGGUUCAUUUGAUGGUAGAUCCAUUGAUGAUUGUAGAGGAUUUCAAAACUGUAGGGUUCUUAAUGAUUGCAGAGGAAAAGGGAAGGAGAAAACAUGUUGAAGUGAGAGAUUGAUUUUUACACACGAUUUAUUACUGACGACCAGGAUGUUUUGAUCAUGGGUAGGGAUGGGCAAAUACCCAUUGAUUAUGGGUAACUGUGGUUACCCGUCCAUUUAAAUUAAACGGUUACGAUUAUGGGUAACCGUUUAGAUAAAUAAACGGUUAUAGGUAUAACCGUUUACUCGCGAAAUUUAAAUGGGUGGUUAUGGGUAUUAACCACGGUUAUAAAUGGAUAACCGUUUACCCAUUUAUUUGUAUAUGUAAAACUAACACAAACCAUGUUCUCGAUCCAAUAAUACUUAGCACCCAAUAAAUUAGCAAGGAAUUCAUAGGUCAUUCUCUCAAUAAUACUACUACGAUGAUUCUCAUCAUCAAGGAAUUGGCCAAAUUAAUUUAAAUUCCUUGCGAGUAACCGUGAAAUUGACAGAAAUGCUUUGACAGAAAUGUCAUCUAAACAAAUUUUGUAACCCAAUAAUACUUAGCAAAUAUUAUAUUUACCUUCAUUGGUAACAAUUAAAAAUAUCAUUCGUAAACUAUUAUUUCAAUUAUUGGAAUGGUAUAAGGACUUAAAAAAUUAAAAUAUGGAAAUGUAUGAUGAAUGUACUUAUAACGGUGUUUAAUUGUCAAAAAAAAAAUUAUGACAAUUUUUUUUUAAUUUUCAAGUUGUUAAAAAACAUGUAAACGAGUGAAAAAAGGGUAAUGGUAAAAAAAAAAAAAGAUAAACAUGUUAAAAAUGAUAAAUGGGUAAACGGGUAUUAAACGGUUACGGUUAAAUGUGUGUGCGGUUAUGAGUAUGGUUAACUGUUUAUAAACGGUUAUGGGUAUAGGUAUAACCGUUUAGACAAUUACCCAACGGGUAAACGGUUAUGCGGGUAUGAGCAUAAACGGUUAUGGGUAAAUUAACCGCGGUUACCCGUCCGCAUAACCAUUGCCCAUCCCUAGGUGAUGCCUUGAGCUUUAGCAUGAAUAUGUAGUUUUUAUUUAAUUGCUUAUGAUAUUAUGCAUGCAUACUUUGAAUUAUUAAU